UUUUUUUUGGUUUUGCCCUUGUUUGGCAAAAAAAAUCUGUGUGUUAUCAGAUGCCACUGUUGGGUAAUGUUGCAUGGAAAAACAAAAAAAAAUCUACGCACACGCAAUGAUCUAUCCAUGGAGAUGCAUAGCAACGAGGGGGAGAGUGUGUCUACGUACCCUUGUAGACCGAAAACGGAAGCGUUUGACAACGUGGUUGAUGUAGUUGAACUUCUUCUAGCUCUGACCGAUUAAGCACCGAACGUAGGGCACCUCCGAGUUAUGCAGACGUUCAGCUCGGUGAUGUCCCUCGUCUUCUUGAUCCAGCAAGACGUCGAGGAAGUAGAUGAGUUCCAUCAGCACGACGGCGUGGUGACGGUGAUGGUGAAGUGCUCCGUGCAGGGCUUCACCUAAGCACCACGAGAAUAUGACCGAGGGUCUAAACUGUGGAGGCGGGCGUCGCGCACGGCUAAAAAUUGUUCCCCUGGGGGGUUCUGGUAACCCCCCCCCCCCGGUACUCCGAUAAAUACCCGAUACAUUCUAUAACACUUCCGGUGUCCGAAUACUAUCGUCUUGAAAGUGCAACUAAUCCCUGGGUGCUUUUGGUAACUCAUAACAACUUAUAGCUCAUGUCACUUUCUCAUUUCCAAAUAUGUCCAAAACCUAAAGUCAAACUUGGCCCCGUCGAUUUUAUCUAUCCGGCGCCACCGAGUUCUUUUGAAAUAGCCACUUCCAGAAACCCUCGUCAAUUCGGUCUCACUGAUCGGGAUCUCGGUCUCAUUGGGAUGGUAAUGCAAACUCUUUGUUUCAUUCGUAGCAUUUUGGUCUUACCGAAAUGAGAGAUCAGACCCACCGAGUUCGCAAUGUAAACUCUCUGUUUCCCUUCGUAACGUUUGGGUCUUACCGAAAUCAGCGAUCUGUCCCAUCGAGUUUUCUUGACAAACUAUCUAUUAACUCAUUACUGAAAUCGUUCUCACCGAGUUCCUGCAAUCGGUCACACCGAGAUGAGGUUUUGCCCUAACCCUAGCACAUCGGUCCCACCGAGUUGAUCAUGUCGGUCCCACCAAGAUUCCUAACGAUCACAUUUUGAACUGAAUCGGUCUCACUGAGUUCUCCUAUUCCGUCUGACCGAGUUAGGUCAAAUGUGUGUAACGAUUUUGUGUGGAGGCUAUUUAUACCCCUCCACUCAUUCUCUAUUCAAGAGAGAGAGACAUCAGAACGUGCCUAGACUUCCACUACUCAUUUUCUGAGAGAGAACCACCUACUCAUGUGUGUGCUUGUUUGAUUCCUAUGCUACUAUAUUUGUGCUUGUUUGUGAGAUACUUUUGUGAUCAUGUGGUUGAUCAUAUUAUACUUUAAUGUGGGCUUGAAUGAUGAUAUUUUAAUACUUGUGUAUGAUCAAUCAUGUUUCCCUUGGUGAUGAGUGCAUGUACUUUAUAUCUUAUCAUUUUGAGCGCUCCACCAAGAUGUCUGUGACAUGGUGAAGGAAAUAUGCCCUAUAGGCAAUAAUAAAGUUAUUAUUUAUUUCCUUAUAUCAUGAUAAAUAUUUAUCAUUCAUGCUAGAAUUGUAUUAACCGGAAACAUAAUACAUGUGUGAAUACAUAGACAAACAGAGUGUCACUAGUAUGCCUCUACUUGACUAGCUCGUUAAUCGAAGAUGGUUAUGUUUCCUAACCAUAAACAAAAGAGUUGUUAUUUGAUUAACGGGAUCACAUCAUUAGGAGAAUGAUGUGAUUGACAUGACCCAUUCCAUUAGCUUAGCACCCGAUCGUUUAGUAUGUUGCUAUUGCUUUCUUCAUGACGUAUACAUGUUCCUAUGACUAUGAGAUUACGCAACUCCCAUUUGCCGGAGGAACACUUUGUGUGCUACCAAACGUCACAACGUAAAUGGGUGAUUAUAAAGGUGCUCUACAGGUGUCUCCAAAGGUACAUGUUGGGUUGGCGUAUUUCGAGAUUAGGAUUUGUCACUCCGAUUGUCGGAGAGGUAUCUCUGGGCCCUCUCGGUAAUACACAUCACAUAAGCCUUGCAAGCAUUGCAACUAAUGAGUUAGUUGUGAGAUGAUGUAUUACGGAACGAGUAAAGAGACUUGCCGGUACCAAGAUUGAACUAGGUAUGGGAUACCGACGAUCGAAUCUCGGGCAAGUAACAUACCGAUGACAAAGGGAACAACGUAUGUUGUUAUGCGGUCUGACCGAUAAAAGAUCUUCAUAGAAUAUGUAGGAGCCAAUAUGAGCAUCCAGGUUCCGCUAUUGGUUAUUGACCGGAGACGUGUCUCGGUCAUGUCUACAUUGUUCUCGAACCCGUAGGGUCCGCACGCUUAAGGUUUCGAUGACAGUUAUAUUGUGAGUUUAUGAGUUUUGAUGUACCGGAGUUAGUUUGGAGUCCCGGAUGUGAUCACGGACAUGACGAGGAGUCUGGAAAUGUCGAGACAUAAAGAUUGAUAUAUUGGACGGCAAUAUUCGGACACCGGAAGUGUUACGGGGAAGUUUCGGAUAAAACCGGAGCAUCGGGGGGUUACCGGAACCCCCCAGGGGUUAAUGGGCCUCAUGGGCCUAAAGUGGAGAAGAGGAGGGGCUGCCAGGGCAGGCCGCGCGCCCCCUCUCCCCCUAGUCCGAAUUGGACAAGGAGGGAGGGGCGGCGCCCCCCCCCCCAUUUCCUUCUCUCCUUCCCCCUCUCCUACUUGGACAAGGAAAGGGAGGGGAGUCCUACUCCCGGUAGGAGUACGACUCCUCCUGCGCGCCUCCUACUAGGGCCGGCCGCACCCCCCCUUGGAUCCUUUAUAUACGGAGGCAAGGGACACCCCUAGAGACACAAGUUGAUCCUCGUGAUCAUAUUAUUAGCCGUGUGCGGUGCCCCCUUCCACCAUAAUCCUCGAUAAUAUUGUAGCGGUGCUUAGGUGAAGCCCUGCGAUGGUAGAACAUCAAGAUCGUCACCAUGCCGUCGUGCUGACGGAACUCUUCCCCGACGCUUUGCUGGAUCGGAGUCCGGGGAUCGUCAUCGAGCUGAACGUGUGCCAAAACUCGGAGGUGCCGUAGUUUCGGUGCUUGAUCGGUCAGGCCGUGAAGACGUACGACUACAUCAACUGCGUUGUGCUAACGCUUCCGCUGUCGGUCUACAAGGGUACGUAGAUCACACUCUCCCCUCGUUGCUAUGCAUCACCAUGAUCUUGCGUGUGCGUAGGAAUUUUUUUGAAAUUACUACGUUCCCCAACAGUGGCAUCCGAGCCUAGGUUUUAUGUGUUGAUGUUAUAUGCACGAGUAGAACACAAGUGAGUUGUGGGCGAUAUAAGUCAUACUGCUUACCAGCAUGUCAUACUUUGGUUCAGCGGUAUUGUUGGACGAAGCAGCCCGGACCGACAUUACACGUACGCUUACGCGAGACCGGUUCUCCCGACGUGCUUUGCACAAAGGUGGCUAGCGGGUGACAGUUUCUCCAACUUUAGUUGAACCGAGUGUGGCUACGCCCAGUCCUUGCGAAGGUUAAAACAGCACCAACUUGACAAACUAUCGUUGUGGUUUUGAUGCGUAGGUAAGAUUGGUUCUUGCUUAAGCCCGUAGCAGCCACGUAAAACUUGCAACAACAAAGUAGAGGACGUCUAACUUGUUUUUGUAGGGCAUGUUGUGAUGUGAUAUGGUCAAGACAUGAUGCUAAAUUUUAUUGUAUGAGAUGAUCAUGUUUUGUAACCUAGUUAUCGGCAACUGGCAGGAGCCAUAUGGUUGUCGCUUUAUUGUAUGCAAUGCAAUCGCGCUGUAAUGCUUUACUUUAUCACUAAGCAGUAGCGAUAGUCGUGGAAGCAUAAGAUUGGCGAGACGACAACGAUGCUACGAUGGAGAUCAAGGUGUCGCGCCGGUGACGAUGGUGAUCAUGACGGUGCUUCGAAGAUGGAGAUCACAAGCACAAGAUGAUGGUGGCCAUAUCAUAUCACUUAUAUUGAUUGCAUGUGAUGUUUAUCUUUUAUGCAUCUUAUCUUGCUUUGAUUGACGGUAGCAUUAUAAGAUGAUCUCUCACUAAUUAUCAAGAAGUGUUCUCCCUGAGUAUGCACCGUUGCGAAAGUUCUUCGUGCUGAGACACCACAUGAUGAUCGGGUGUGAUAGGCUCUACGUCCAAAUACAACGGGUGCAAAACAGUUGCACACGCAGAAUACUCAGGUUAUACUUUACAAGCCAAGCAUAUACAGAUAUGGCCUCGGAACACGGAGACCGAAAGGUCGAGCGUGAAUCAUAUAGCAGAUAUGAUCAACAUAGCGAUGUUCACCAAUGAAACUACUCCAUCUCACGUGAUGAUCGGACAUGGUUUAGUUGAUUUGGAUCGCGUAAUCACUUAGAGGAUUAGAGGGAUGUCUAUCUAAGUGGGAGUUCAUAAUUAAUAUGAUUAAUUGAACUUAAAUUUAUCAUGAACUUAGUCCUGGUAGUAUUUUGCAAAUUAUGUUGUAGAUCAAUAGCUCGCGUUGUUGCUUCCUUGUGUUUAUUUUGAUAUGUUCCUAGAGAAAAUUGUGUUGAAAGAUGUUAGUAGCAAUGAUGCGGAUUGGAUCCGUGAUCUGAGGUUUAUCCUCAUUGCUGCACAGAAGAAUUAUGUCCUUGAUGCACCGCUAGGUGACGGACCUAUUGCAGGAGCAGAUGCAGACGUUAUGAAUGUUUGGCUAGCUCAAUAUGAUGACUACUUGAUAGUUUAGUGCACCAUGCUUAAUGGCUUAGAAUAGGGACUUCAAAGACGUUUUGAACAUCAUGGAACAUAUGAGAUGUUCCAGGAGUUGAAGUUAAUAUUUCAAGCAAAUACCCGAGUUGAGAGAUAUGAAGUCUCCAACAAGUUCUAUAGCUAAAAGAUGGAGGAGAAUCGCUCAACUAGUGAGCAUGUGCUCAGAUUGUCUGAGUACUACAAUCGCUUGAAUCAAGUGGGAGUUAAUCUUCCAGAUAAGAUAGUGAUUGACAGAAUUCUCUAGUCACCAUCACCAAGUUAGUAGAACUUCGUGAUGAACUAUGAUAUGCAAGGGAUAACGGAAACGAUUCCCAAGCUCUUCGUAAUGCGGAAAUUGACGAAGGUAGAAAUCGAGAAAAAUAUCAAGUGUUGAUGGUAGACAAGACCACUAGUUUCAAGAAAAGGGCAGAGGGAACAAGGGGAACUUCAAGAUGAACAGCAAGCAAGUUGCUGCUCAAGUGAAGAAGCCCAAGUCUGGUCCUAAGCCUGAGACUAAGUAUUUCUACUGCAAAGGGACUGGUCAUUGGAAGCGGAACUACCCCAAAUGAUUGGCAGAUAAGAAGGAUGGCAAAGUGAACAUAAGUAUAUUUGAUAUACAUGUUAUUGAUGUGUACUUUACUAGUGUUUAUAGCAACCCCUCAGUAUUUGAUACUAGUUCAGUUGCUAAGAUUAGUAACUCGAAACGUGAGUUGCAGAAUAAAUAGAGACUAGUUAAGGGUGAAGUGAUGAUGUGUGUUGGAAGUGGUUCCAAGAUUGAUAUGAUCAUCAUCGCACACUCCCUAUACUUUCGGGAUUAGUGUUGAACCUGAAUAAGUGUUAUUUGGUGUUUGCGUUGAGCAUGAAUAUGAUUUGAUCAUGUUUAUUGUAAUACGGUUAUUCAUUUAAGUAAGAGAAUAAAUUGUUGUUCUGUUUACAUGAAUAAAACCUUAUAUGGUUACACACCCAAUGAAAAUAGUUCGUUGGAUCUCGAUCGUAGUGAUACACAUAAUCAUAAUAUUGAAACCAAAAGAUGCAAAGUUAAUAAUGAUAGUGCAACUUAUUUGUGGCACUGCCGUUUAGGUCAUAUUGGUGUAAAGCGCAUGAAGAAACUCCAUGCUAAUGGGUUUUUGGAAUCACUUGAUUAUGAAUCAGUUGAUGCUUGCGAACCAUGCCUCAUGGGCAAGAUGACUAAAACGCCGUUCUCCAGAACUAUGGAGCGAGCAACUGACUUAUUGGAAAUAAUACAUACUGAUGUAUGAGAUCCGAUAAGUGUUAAGUCUCGUGGCGGGUAUCAUUAUUUUCUGACCUUCACAGAUGAUUUGAGAAGAUAUGGGUAUAUCUACUUAAUGAAACACAAGUCUGAAAUAUUUGAAAAAAAUUCAGAGUGAAGUGGAGAAUCAUCGUAACAAGAAAAUAAAAGUUUCUACGAUAUGAUCGCAGAGGUAAAAUAUUUGAGUUACGAGUUUGGCCUUCAGUUAAAACAAUGUGAAAUAGUUUCACUACUCACGCCACCUGGAACACCACAGCAUAAUGGUGUGUCCGAACAUCAUAACCGUACUUUAUUAGAUAUGGUGCGAUCUAUGAUGCCUCUUACCGAUCUACCACUAUCGUUUUGGGGUUAUGCAUUAAAGACAGCUGCAUUCACGUUUAAAAGGGCACCAUCUAAGUCCGUUGAGACGACACAAUCUGAACUAUGGUUUGGCAAGAAACCAAAGUUGUCGUUUCUUAAAGUUUCGGAUUGUGAUGCUUAUAUGAAAAAGUUUCAUCCUGAUAAGCUCAAACCCAAAUCUGAGAAAUAUGUCUUCAUAGGAUACCCAAAGGAGACUAUUGGGUACACCUUCUAUCACAGAUCCGAAGGCAAGACAUUCGUUGCUAAGAAUGGAUCCUUUCUAGAGAAGGAGUUUAUCUUGAAAGAAGUGAGUGGGAGGAAAGUAGAACUUGAUAAGGUAAUUGUACCUUCUCCCUUAUUGAAAAGUAGUUCAUCACCAGAAAUCUGUUCCUGUGACUACUACACCAAUUAGUGAGGAAGACUAAUGGUGAUGAUCAUGUAACUUCAGAUCAAGUUAAUACUGAAUCUCGUAGGUAAACCAGAGUGAGAUCCGCACCAAAGUGGUACGAUAAUCCUGUUCUGGAAGUCAUGUUACUAGACCAUGACGAACUUGCGAACUAUGAGGAAGCGAUGAUGAGCCUAGAUUCCGCGAAAUGGCUUGAGGCCAUGAAAUCUGAGAUGAGAUCCAUGUAUGAGAACAAAGUAUGGACUUUGAUUGACUUGCCCAAUGAUUGGCGAGCCACUGAGAUUAAAUGGAUCUUCAAGAGGAAGACGGACGUUGAUAGUAGUGUUACUAUCUACAAAGCUAGAAUUGUCGCAAAAAGGUUUUCAACAAGUUCAAGGUGUUGACUAUGAUGAGAGUUUCUCACUCGUAUCUAUGCUUAAGUCUGUCCGAAUCAUGUUAGCAAUUGCCGCAUUUUAUGAAAUCCAGCAAAUGGAUGUCAAAACUGCAUUCCUGAAUGGAUUUCUGGAAGAAGAGUUGUAUAUGAUGCAGCCGGAAGGUUUUGUCGAUCCAAAAGGAGCUAACAAAGUGUGCAAGCUCUAGCGAUCCAUUUAUGGACUGGUGCAAGCCUCUCGGAGUUGGAAUAAACGCUUUGAUAGUAUGAUCAAAGCAUAUAGUUUUAUACAGACUUGCGGUGAAGCCUGUAUUUACAAGAAAGUGAGUGGGAGCACUACAGCAUUUUUGAUAAGUAUAUGUGAAUGACAUAUUGUUGAUCGGAAAUAAUGUAGAAUUAUUCUGCAAAGCAUAAAGGAGUGUUUUUAAAGAAGUUUUUUCAAAAGAAAGACCUCGGUGAAGCUGCUUACAUAUUAAGCAUCAAAAUCUAUAGAGAUAGAUCAAGACGCUUGAUAAGUUUUUUCAAUGAAUACAUACCUUGACAAUAUUUUGAAGUACUUCAAAAAUGGAACAGUCAAAGAAAGAGUUCUUGGUUGUGUUACAAGGUAUGAAAUUGAGUAAGACUCAAAGCCCGACCACGGCAGAAGAUAGAAAGAGAAUGAAAGUCAUUCCCUAUGCCUCAGCCAUAGGUUCUAUAAAGUAUGCCAUGAUGUGUACCAGAUCUAUUGUAUACCCUACACUGUGUUAAGCAAGGGAGUACAAUAGUGAUCUAAGAGUAGAUCAUUGGACAUUGGUCAAAAUUAUCCUUAGUGGAAUAAGGAAAUAUUUCUCGAUUAUGGAGGUGACAAAAGGUUCGUCGUAAAAAGUUACGUCGAUGCAAGUUUUGACACAGAUCUGGAUGACUCUAAGUCUCGAUCUAGAUACAUAUUGAAAGUGGGAGCAAUUAGCUAGAGUAGCUCCAUGCAAAGCAUUGUAGACAUAGAAUUCACAAAAUACUUACGGAUCUGUAUGUGACAGACCCGUUGACUAAAAUUAUCUCACAAGCAAAACAUGAUCACACCUUAGUACUCUUUGGGUGUUAAUCACAUAAAUGAUGUGAACUAGAUUAUUGACUCUAGUAAACCCUUUGGGUAUAGGUCACAUGACGAUGUGAACUAUGGGUGUUAAUCACAUGGUGAUGUGAACUCUUAGUGUUGAAUCACAUGGCGAUGUGAACUAGAUUAUUGACUCUAGUGCAAGUGGAAGACUGAAGGAAAUAUGCCCUAGAGGCAAUAAUAAAGUUAUUAUUUAUUUCCUUAUAUCAUGAUAAAUGUUUAUUAUUCAUGCUAGAAUUCUAUUAACCGGAAACAUAGUACAUGUGUGAAUACAUAGACAAACAGAGUGUCACUAGUAUGCCUCUACUUGACUAGCUCGUUAAUCGAAGAUGGUUAUGUUUCCUAACCAUAAACAAAAGAGUUGUUAUUUUAUUAAUGGGAUCACAUCAUUAGGAGAAUGAUGUGAUUGACAUGACCCAUUCCAUUAGCUUAGCACCCGAUCGUUUAGUAUGUUGCUAUUGCUUUCUUCAUGAAUUAUACAUGUUUCUAUGACUAUGAGAUUAUGCAACUCCCGUUUGCCGGAGGAACACUUUGUGUGCUACCAAACGUCACAACGUAAAUGGGUGAUUAUAAAGGUGCUCUACAGGUGUCUCCAAAGGUACAUGUUGGGUUGGCGUAUUUUGAGAUUAGGAUUUGUCACUCUGAUUGUCGGAGAGGUAUCUCUGGGCCCUCUCGGUAAUACACAUCACAUAAGCCUUGCAAGCAUUGCAACUAAUGAGUUAGUUGUGAGAUGAUGUAUUACGGAACGAGUAAAGAGACUUGCCGGUAACGAGAUUGAACUAGGUAUGGGAUACCGACGAUCGAAUCUCGGGCAAGUAACAUACCGAUGACAAAGGGAACAACGUAUGUUGUUAUGCGGUUUGACCGGUAAAAGAUCUUCAUAGAAUAUGUAGGAGCCAAUAUGAGCAUCCAGGUUCCGCUAUUGGUUAUUGACCGGAGACGUGUCUCGGACAUGUCUACAUUAUUCUCGAACCCGUAGGGUCCGCACGCUUAAGGUUUCGAUGACAGUUAUAUUAUGAGUUUAUGAGUUUUGAUGUACCGAAGUUAGUUCAGAGUCCCGGAUGUGAUCACGGACAUGACGAGGAGUCUCGAAAUGGUCGAGACAUAAAGAUUGAUAUAUUGGACGGCUAUAUUUGGACACCGGAAGUGUUCCGGGGAAGUUUCGGAUAAAACCGGAGCACCGGGGGGUUACCGGAACCCCCCAGGGGGGUUAAUGGGCCUCAUGGGCCUAAAGUGGAGAAGAGGAGGGGCUGCCAGGGCAGGCCGUGCGCCCCCUCUCCCCCUAGUCCAAAUUGGACAAGGAGGGAGGGGCGGUGCCCCCCCCCCUUUUCCUUCUCUCCUUCCCCCUCUCCUACUUGGACAAGGAAAGGGAGGGGAGUCCUACUCUCGGUAGGAGUAGGACUCCUCCUACGCGCCUCCUACUAGGGCCGGCCGCACCCCCCCUUGGAUCCUUUAUAUAUGGAGGCAAGGGACACCCCUAGAGACACAAGUUGAUCGUCGUGAUCAUAUUCUUAGCCGUGUGCGGUGCCCCCUUCCACCAUAAUCCUCGAUAAUAUUGUAGCGGUGCUUAGGCGAAGCCCUCCGACGGUAGAACAUCAAGAUCGUCACCACGCCGUCGUGCUGGCGGAACUCUUCCCCAAUGCUUUGCUGGAUUGGAGUCCGGGGAUCAUCAUCGAGCUGAACGUGUGCUAAAACUCGGAGGUUCCGUAGUUUCGGUGCUUGAUCGGUUGGGCCUGAAGACAUACGACUACAUCAACCGCGUUGUGCUAACGCUUCCGCUGUCGGUCUACAAGGGUACGUAGAUCACACUCUCCCCUCGUUGCUAUGCAUCACCAUGAUCUUGUGUGUGCGUAGGAAUUUUUUUGAAAUUACUACGUUCCGCAACACAUCGAAGAGUGACCCAUGAUCCUAAUAGAUUGUGCAUUUGCAUUCAAAAGCAAAUAUUAAAUAAUGCACAAAUUUAGGGGGAGCUCUUGUUUAUCACAUACUUCUCAAAGUGGCGAUGUAUUUCAAUUACCAAAAAGGGGGAGAUUGAAAGUGCAACUAAUCCUUGGUUGGUUUUGGUAAUUCAUAACAACAUAUAGCUCAUUGAACUAAUAUCCUUUCAAGUUAAAUAUUUCAGAAAGUUCAAUGAUUGGCAUGGCAUGGAAUAGAGAUGUGGAGCCCUCAAAAUGCUAAGGACAAACAUUGGCAAAAGCUCAAGACUCUUCAUUUUCAUUUUAGUGAUCCAAGAUCACAUUGAGUCCAUAGGAAAAGCCAAUGUUACUAAAAGGGGAUGAGGUGUUGCUUAAUGGCCUACUUGCUCAAAGUGCUUAGUGAUAUGCUCCAAAGCCCUCAACCACUUCCUCAUUUCCAAAUAUGUCCAAAACCUAAAGUCAAACUCAGCCCCACCAAUUUGAUCUAUCCGGUGCCACCGAGUUCUUUUGACAUAGCCACUGCCACAAACCCUAGUCAAUUUGGUCUCACCGAUCGGGAUCUUGGUCUCACCGAGAUGGUAGUGCAAACUCUCUGUUUCCCUUCGUAAUGUUCCGGUCAUACCAAAAUGAGCGAUCGGUCCCACCGAGUUCGCAAUGUAAACCCUUUGUUUCCCUUCGUAACAUUUUGGUCUUACUGAAAUGAGCGAUCGGUCCCACCGAGUUUGCCUGACCAACUCUCUGUUAACUCAUUGCUGAAAUCGGUCUCACCGAGUUCUUGCAAUCGGUCACACCAAGAUGAGGUUUUGCCCUAACCCUAGCACAUCGGUCCCACUGAGUUGAUCAUGUCAGUCCCACCGAGAUUCCUAACGAUCACAUUUUGAACUGAAUCGGUCUCACCGAGUUCUAUUCGGUCUGACCGAGUUGGGUCAAAUGUGUGUAACGGUUGGAUUUUGUGUGGAGGCUAUAUAUACCCCUCCACCCCCUUCUCUAUUCAAGAGAGAGCCAUCAGAACGUGCCUAGACUUCCACUACUCAUUUUCUGAUAGAGAAUCGCCUACUCAUGUGUUGAGACCAAGACAUUCCAAUCCAACCACAAGAAUCUUGAUCUCUGGCCUUCCCCAAGUUGCUUUCCACUCAAAUCAUCUUUCCAUCAUAGCCAAUCUGUGUGAGAGAGUUGAAUGUUUGGGAGACUAUCAUUUGAAGCACAAGAGCAAGGAGUUCAUCAUCUAUACACCAUCUAUUACCUUUUGGAGAGUGGUGUCGGUUAGGUGUCACUUGCGAGCCUCCGACAAGAUUGUGGAGUUGAACCAAGGAGUUUGUAGGGGCAAGGAGAUCACCUACUUCAUGAAGAUCUACUCGAGUGAGGCAAGUCCUUCGUGGGCGAUGGCCAUGGUGGGAUAGACAAGGUUGCUUCUUUGUGGACCCUUCAUAGGUGGACCCCUCCAUGGACUCGCACAGCUGUUACCGUUCGUGAGUUGAAGUCUCCAUCAACGUGGACGUACGAUAGCACCACCUAUCGGAACCACGCCAAAAAUCUCUGUGUCUACAUUGUGUUUGCCUUCUCCAAACCCUUCCCUUUACCUUCAUACGCAAUGUUUUACUUUCUGUUGCUACACUCUUAGAAUUGUGUGUGUAGGUUGAUUGCUUGACUUGUGCUAAGUUGCUAAAAUCAGCCAAGACCUAAUAUUGGGAAAAGGCUAGAUUUUUAUUUGGUCAAGUAGUCUAAUCACCCCCCCCCUCUAGACCUACUUUCGGUCCUACAAGUGGUAUCACAGCUUCGGUCUCCAUCUUCCUUGAUUUCCAUAGCUUUGGUGAUCAUAGCCUUGGUUUCACAACCUAGGAGAGUAUGGCGUCUAGCGAGGGAAAUUACCAUCGUAGAGGUCCUUACUUUGAUGGUACUAAUUUUGCUAGUCGGAAGCAUAAGAUGAAAAUGCAUAUUCUUGUACAUAACCCCGCCAUUUGGGCUAUUGUGCACAUUGGCUUGCAAGGUGAAUACUUCGAGGAUGGAAGAGAACCGGAUCUUGAAGCAUCCGCGGAAUAAUUGAAGAGGUUGCAAUACAAUGCUCAAGAUUGUGAUAUUCUUUUCAAUGGAUUGUGCCCCAAAGAAUUCAACAAAAUCAUCCACCUUGAGAAUGCAAAGGAAAUUUGGGAUACUUUGGUUGAUAUGCACGAAGGUACCGAGUCCGUCAAGGAAUCCAAAUUGGAUGUGCUUCAAAGUCAACUUGACAAGUUCAAAAUGAAGGAUGGUGAGGGAGUCGCUGAAAUGUAUUCUAGGCUUGCUCUCAUCACAAAUGAGAUUGCCGGCUUAGGAAGUAGUAUCAAUAUCCUUUACUAUGAUACCUUCCACCAUAUGGGAUUGACAAAUAAGAAUCUUAAACCGUCGAACGCCAUUUUUCAUGGUGUGGUGCCUGGUAAAUCGGCGUAUCCAGUAGGCAAGAUAGCCCUAGAGGUGGCUUUUGGAGAUGAUCAUGAUUCAAGGUCAGAAACAUUGACUUUUGAGAUGGUGAAAAUCAAAAGUCCAUAUCAUGCCCUGUUCGGAAGACCGGCUUAUGCCAAGUUCACGGCGAGGACGUGUUAUGUGUAUCUAUAGCUUAAGAUGCCGGGUCAUAAGGGGACCAUCACAGUACAUGGGAGCAGGAAGAUUCCUUUGGAAUGUGAAGAGGGUGAUGCGGCUUAUGCUGAGUCGGUUUGUGCCACAGAGGAGCUGAAGUUUUAUAAAGACAAGGUUGAUCCGGCACACAUGACUUCUUUGAAAAAACCAACUACGGAGCAUGAUCCGGCGUUGAAGUUUAAAUCGGCUACAGACACUAAGAUGGUUGAUUUUGUUCCUGGCGAUUCAUCCAAGCAGUUCAGCAUCAGCGCUAACCUGGAUCCCAAAUAGGAAAGCGCGCUCAUCGAGUUCAUCUGUGAGAACCGGGACAUCUUUGCAUGGAAGCCUUCUGACAUGCCAGGUGUACCGAGGGAACUUGCUGAGCACACACUUAAUAUAGAUCCUAAGUUUAAACCGGUCAGGCAGUUUCUUCGCUGAUUCAACGAAGAAAGGCUAAGGCUAUUGGUGAGGAGGUAGCUUGGCUGUUGGCCGCAGGGUUUAUUGUGGAGGUCUUUCACCCGGAGUGGCUAGCUAAUCCGGUGCUGGUUCUUAAGAAAAACGACACUUGGCGUAUGUGUGUGGACUACACAGAUUUGAACAAGGCUUGUCUAGCAGAUCCCUUUCCUCUUAUUGAUCAAAUUAUUAAUGCUACAGCGGGUUGUGACCGUUUAUGUUUUCUGGAUGCUUACUCUGGUUAUCAUUAGAUCAAAAUGGCAGAUAAGGACCAGGAGAAGACAGCUUUUAUAACUCCCUUUGGAGCCUUCUGCUAUGUCUCCAUGCCGUUUGGGCUCAAGAGUGCCCAGGCGACUUAUCAGCACUGUGUUCAGAAUUGUCUUCAUAAGCAGAUUGGACGCAAUGUUCAUGCAUAUGUGGAUGAUAUUGUGGUGAAGUCCAGGAAGGAGGAAACAUUGAUAGAUGACUUGAGAGAGACUUUUGACAACCUCUGGGUUUAUAAGAUGAUGCUUAAUCCAGACAAAUGUGUCUUUGGUGUUCCGGCAGGCAAGCUCUUGGGUUUUCUGGUGUCUAACAGGGGCAUUGAGGCUAAUCCGAAAAAAAAAUCAGCUAUCACGUCCCUGGCUAAACCGGCGUGUAUCAAUGACGUUCAACGUUUAGCAGGCUUUUUGCGGCUUUGACCCGGUUUAUCAAUCGUCUUGGGGAGAAAGAUAUCCAUUUAUAUCAGAUGUUAAAGAAAACGGAUGACUUUGUCUGGAGCGACGCGGCUGAUAAAGCAUUUGAGGAUUUGAAGAGACAGUUAGUUGAACCGCAUGUCCUUGCAGCUCCGGUCGAUAAAGAGCCUUUACUGCUAUAUGUGGUUGCUAAUGCCCGGGCUGUUACCAUGGCCAUUGUUGUGGAGCACAAGGAGGCUGGAAAGGAGUAUCCGGUUCAAUGGCCGGUUUAUUAUAUCAGUGAGGUGCUUAUCGAAUCGAAGCAGAGGUAUCCGCAUUGGCAGAAGCUGGUGUAUGGAUUUUUUAUGGCAAGCCGGAAGCUCAAGCACUAUUUUCAGGGUCAUCCUAUCACAGUGGUUAGUUCAGCCCCUUUGGGAGAUAUCAUCCAAAAUAGAGAGGCGACUGGCCGGGUUGCCAAGUGGGCUAUUGAGCUUGGACCUCACAGGCUCAAAUAUACACCUCGCACAGCGAUCAAAUCUCAAGCACUUGUGGACUUCAUCAAUGAUUGGACAGAGUUGCGGGUACCAGAGGAAAAGCCAGACAACACUUAUUGGACUAUUCACUUUGAUGGGUCCAGGCAAUUGGAGGGCUCGGGGCUGGAGUCAUAUUAACUUCCCCACGAGGUGACAAGUUUUGUUAUGUUCUCCGCUUAAUGUUCCCUUGUACUAACAAUGCAGCUGAGUAUGAGGCCUUACUCCAUGGUCUGCGGAUGGCUAAGGAGAUGAACUUAAGCCGGGGUAAGUGAUACGGUGAUUCGGACCUGGUGGCUCAGCAGGUAUCUGGCACUUGGGAUUCUAAGGAUCCACUCAUGGUUGCAUAUCGACGGGAGGUGGACAUAGUGGCUGGUCAUUUCAAAGGUUAUCAAGUUAACCAUAUAGACCAGUGAAAGAAUGAAGCGGCGGACGCUUUAAGUCGUCUAGGCUCUCAGCAUAAACCAGUGCCACCUAAUGUCUUUCUCAACGUACUCCAUAAUCCGUCAGUCAAGAUACCAACAAAGGUGGAAUUGGCUAUUCCUAACCCGGAGGCCUAGUUGGUGGCGACUCUGCAUGUUAUACCGGAUUGGACAGUCCCGUACCUGGCCUACAUGAACCGGGACGAGUUACCGGAGGAUGAAACCUUGGCCCGGCAGAUAAUCCGGCGAUCCAAGUCAAUGACCAUUGUCAAUGGGGAGUUACAUCAUUACAGCGUCACAGGAGCAAUUCAGCAUUGUGUGUCUCCUCAAGAGGGUUGUGAGAUUUUGCAAGAAAUCCACGAAGGAGAUUGUGGUCACCAUGUCGGUUCAAAUACUUGGUGGCUAAGGCUUUUUUCACAGCUUCUAUUGGUUGACGGCUCAUGCUGAUGCUGAGGAUUUAGUAAAGAGGUGUGAUGGUUGUCAGAAGUUUGCACGCCGCGCCCAUGUUCCGGCCCAGGAGUUGAGAAUGAUUCCAAUCACUUGGCCAUUUGCAACUUGGGGGCUCGAUAUGGUUGGGCCCUUUAAGAGAUCCAAGGACAAAAAGACCCACCUGUUGGUGGCGGUUGACAAGUUUACCAAGUGGGUAGAGGCAGAGCCAGUUAGUAAGUGUGAUGCAGCCACGGCGGUUCAAUUCAUCAAAAAGGUGAUAUUCCGGUUUGGUUUUCCACACAGCAUUACAACUGAUAAUGGUACUAAUCUUGACCUAAUAAUAAAGCAAAUUGGGUUUCUUUCGUCCGUCAUGGCAUUUUUCAGAAAAGUCCUUCUAUUUCAGAGAAUUCAACCCACAGUCCUGUUUUAAGUUAAAACGAAUCGUUAUUUUCAUAUUUUACACAAAAGUCCUUGUCUUUUAUUGAAAUCAACCCGCCGUCCAGAUUUAAGUCACACCCGAACCAUUAUUUUACAUUUUUCGAAACCCCCCUCAUGUUUUAGGUAAUUCAUCUGCGGAUCAUAUUUAAGUCAAACAAAUGUUUUUUAAAAUCAUCCAUAUCUUUUAAACCGUAACUCCGAUUUGAACUUGUUAUAUAUGAAUUUUGAUUACAAAAAUAUGUAGAAUAUGAGUAUGAGAUUAUUUUUACCUUUUAAGUAUUUUUAAAUAGUAUUUUGAAAUAUAUUUGAGUCAAACCAAAUGAUCUUUUAAAUUAUCUGUAUCUUUUAAACCGUAACUUCGAUUUUAACAUAUUAUAUAUGAAAUUAUAUUAGAAAAUGUGUGGAAUCUAAAUAUGAUGUUGAUUUUACCUGUUAAAUAUUUUUUAAAUAUUGUUAUGGAAGCAAACUUAUAAUUUAUAUCGCAAGAUUCGUUUUUUCAUACCGGCGGCGAUCCGGAUUGCAAAUAAACAGCCCACUAUAACCAUGUACGGAAAAGAAAACAUCGAUAACUACACAUGCAUACCUCUGAAAAAUGUCGCAGUGGAAAACAACAGAUUUCUCAUCGCGAGAGUGAGAGAAAGCGAGAGAGAGAGAGGGAGAGGGAGGGAGAGAGAGAGGGAGAGGGAGGAGAGAGGGAGAGAGAGACGCCUUAGGAUUAACCAUAUUCAACACACGUUUUUUGUUGUUUUGUGUGAACACCGAGGCCAUCGCCGGCGAGGGUGAGAAGGAGGAUAAGCGGUAACACAAAUAUGAUGCCUCGAAAAAAUAAAAGAGAUGGACCUGUUAUGGUCUUGAGUGAUGGUUGUUGAGUUAAGAUCGUGUGUUAUGUUUUCUCUCCUGUUGCAACGCACAGGCUAUUUUGCUAGUCUAUCCAAAGGUGAUAUGGAGGAAUUUUGUCAACGUGAGCACAUCCGGCUUGAUGUAGCGUCAGUGGCUCACCCCCAGACUAAUGGUCAAGCAGAGAGGGCAAAUCAAGAAAUUUUGAGAGGUAUUAAACCCCGGCUUCUGGUUCCUUUAAAGCAGACGCCGGGUUGUUGGGUGGAGGAGUUACCUUCCGUUUUAUGGAGUAUCACAACCACACCAAACAGAUCUACGGGUUACACGCCUUUCUUCAUGGUUUACGGAGCAGAGGCGGUUCUCCCUAGUGACAUCCGUCAUGUCUCACCCCGUGUGGCGGCUUACGUUGAAGCUGAGAAUGAGAAAGCACGCCAGGACUCACUGGACCUGUUAGAUGAGGAGCGUGAUUUAGUAGCAGCACGUUCGGCGAUUUAUCAACAAGAUCUCCGACGUUAUCACAGCCGCCGGGUUAAGACCAGAACUUUUCAAGAGGGCGAUCUGGUGCUCCGGCUCAUCCAGGAUCAGACUGAUAUGCACAAGUUAUCCCCACCUUGGGAAGGACCUUUUGUGGUCAGCAAAAAUUUGCACAAUGGAUCAUACUACCUUAUCGAUGUUCGAGAGCACCAAGACUCACGCAAAUCGGAGGAGGAGGCCCAGCGGGCAUGGAAUAUAGCUCUUCUUCGGCCUUACUAUACUUGAGCCACAGGCUCUUCUUAUGUACAUACUUAUGACAAUGUAUAUAUUAUAUAAUAAAUCGGAGCCUCAGUUAAAGCGGGGUCUCUGUUCUUUUUUACAUCAUGUGUGGUUCCAUGGGGGUUUCUACUUACAAAGCGGAGUUCUAUUAACCCGGCCUAUAAAGCCACACAGAUAUGAAGGAAAUCACUAGAGGGCUUGGUCGUAUCCGAACCAUAGCUACACCUCUUGAUAGGCUUAAGACCAAAAAGGGAAAUCACUAGGGGGCUUGGUUGUAUUUAUACCAUAGCUACACCUUUUGAUAGGCUUAAAGCCAAAAGGAAAUCAUGUGGAACCAAAGAGAGUUUGUUGCAUAAAGCACAACUCAAACAUAGGUAACCACCGAGCAUAGCUCAAAUAUUACUUGGGGGCUCCUUGCUUCUCAAAGAACAAUGAGCUUGCACCCUUGUAAUAGGCUAUCAAGCCAGGCUUGGAAGCCAGGUGUAUUCACCUAAAACCCCAGGUUAUCCUGCCUCUUUAAGUAAGCCACUCCGUCUAGGUAAACCUAGUAUGACCCAUUGAACGUUUGACAAGUCAAUCUCAUAGACCUUGAACUUGUCAAAGUUAAAAUGGUGAUUGGUUAAAGAUUGAGGUCCAUCUUAAAAGGCUUUGCAAAAUGGUUUAACUCAGCGGCCUGGCAGCCCAUGAAAAGCCUCGAUUUAGGGCAUGGCAGCCCAUGAAAAGCAUUGCAUAUUUCUUUUGGAUUUGCUGUUUUUAAACAUCUUUUGAUAAGGGAUUUAUGAAUAUUUUCUGAUAAACCGGUGUUUAUUACAACCCAACGUGGCUUUCAACGCUCAAUCGUCAGUACAUGAUCAGUUCUAAACCAAUAGUAAGUUGCUCCGGCCUGGUUUUGACUAGAUGUCACCAGCAUUAUACAAACAAACCGGUGGUUAUCAUAACCGGCAAGAGGAAAAGGAGUCAUCAAUACUCCAGAUUGGUGUUUUCACCCUUACUAUACCAAUGAUUGGACAGCCAACAAGAUAUAUCACGGGCAUCAUCUAUUUUAUAUUACAAUCUUGGUUAUCCAUCCAAGUUAUGUAUUUUUUUGGGAAUCAUGGCCCGUCCAGUGGUAAACCACUAGGACAAUUUCAAGUUCUUAUCUGCAGGAGCAAGUUAAAUAAAAGCCAUAAUGGACUAUGCAUAUAAAUUCCAAAGGCAUGGCAAGUUCUCAGUAUCAAGCAAAACCAACAUGCUCGAUGGCAUGACAGAUAAAGUGUUCACGCUAUCCUAUUACAAGGCGCUUUAAAACAGCCCAAAUUGAAUAAUUGUUUUCAUAGGAGUGGUAGACUACAACUGAUAAACCGGCUUCCGGUUUAUGAUUCUUCAUCCGGACUUGAAAAUUGAGGGUCAUCUUGAGCGGUCACAUUCUCCUCAUCCCUACCCAGUCGCUGGAAAUCAGUCGUUGACCAAUCGAUUCCAGUUAAGGCCUGAAAAACGGCUUCUUCAUGAAUAAGGUUGGAAGGGUCAAUGUUAGGAGCAUAAGUAUGCUUACAGAUUGGCGGAACAAGAUCUUCUACAUUACGAAUCAAUGUGGGCUGUUUUUUCCCCAACAUCGUAAACCGGUUGAAAAUGAAAUAGAUCUGUGUCAUCCGCCAAUUUGCUUGCUAUAGGCCGCAUCUCCUUUGUCAGCCUUCGGAGAUCGUCAUUAUUGAAAUCUGAACCAUCUUCCUUCACACCAGGAUAGCCUUUGAUGAUAUCUGCCGGUUCUAGAUCUGGAAUCCACGCCUUGGCCCGGAUUAGCGCGAUCAGUGCACCUGACCUUGUGGAUGAUCUCUUCAGUUCAUCCAACCGGGCUGGCAGCAUGGCCAGCUUUUUGAUGGUUUCUUUUAUCAGCGUUGGAGGAGGCUUGUUAUAAGUUGUCGUGCAAAUCACCCGCUGGGAUCCAGAAUACAACUGUUCUAUCAAAGUAUAGGCCGCUUUAAGCUUCAUCCGCAUGUCGGAGCCCGGAUGAGUAAUGCGGGUCCUUGUCAUUGUAUAACAUCAGUAAACCGGUCAUUGAUAAGAUAUUAUGAAUUAGAAAAACUUCAUGAGAGGGUACACACCAAACACAGCAGGAGUCAUAGCAUUAAUCUGCCGCUUUAAGCCGGUUAGCUCUUCAACCACCGGCUUCAGGGCCGCUUCUGCAUCUUUGGCCUUCUUUGUUAAACCGGCCUUUUCUGUCUCCUAGUCUGCAUGCUCUUUGUUAAAGGUUUCCUUCAGCUUCCCCAUGGCUACUAAGGCAUUCGUUAAUUCUUCCUUGGCCUUGGAGGCCUCCGCUUGCUGAGAUUUAAUGUUCUCCUGAAGGUCAGCGGUUUGAGCAUCCUUCUUACUCAGUUCGGCCUACAAGAGCAAGAUAAGUCAUCAAUGAGAUAUGCAUAUUUGAAGUACCAAGCGUAUAACAAGUUAUGCACUUUUUCCUUGGGGGCUAAUGCCUAUUGGCUCUAUUAUCAGAAUUUUUUUGCAAGUCCCAAGUACAAUGCAUGCAUUAUCCUUGACACUUGGGGGCUAAUGUACAUCUGUUCAAAGUUGAAGCAUUGAUUCAAGACCUGGUUUACCUUGGAAAGAUAAACCGGCCCUUGGGGGCUACACAGAUGAAAGCUACAGGAAUACAACAAUUAAGUACCGGUUUAUCACAUGAUUACCUGACAUAUGGAGGAUAAGCAUGCAAUGAUUGAGAUAUUACAAAGUCCCGAUAUAUGAUUGCUAUCAUAAACUGGCCCUUGGGGGCUACUAGAGUUGGUAUUUAUAAUUGGGCUUAAGAAAGGAAAAAGGUAUGUCAAUACCUUAUAGCGCUCCUUCAUUAGAUUCACCAGACCGGCCUCAUAAUCACGAUUUGAGUGCAGACGGUUUAGGAAACCAGAGUGGAGUUCUUGAGCACUAAGAUGGGCAUAGCUGGAUAAAUCAGUGCUCCAUUUUCCUUUCUCCAUAGCAGUACGCUCUUCCUUGGCACUAUGUUUUGCCAAAAUAACAGGAUGGCCAGGAGAGGUGUGACCAAUACCAGUAAUGAUAACCUCGCCUUCUUUGUCUCCAGCAGCCUUUUCUGGAGUUGAUAGAGUAUCAGCAGUUCUCACUGGACCAGCAGGUCUGUCAUCAGUCCGGAUUGGGUUUGCCGGUUCAUCAUCUGGCACAGCAGUAUCAGCUUCUGCUUGUUCAUCAGUGUUAUGAUCUUGAGGGGGUGGUUCAUCAAAUGUGGCCUCAGUAUUCGGACCCUCUGGUUCAUCAGUUUGCUCCGGUUCAAUAAGCACCUGGUCUUCGGGCGGAUUAUUCACCCGAGCCUUUUUACUGGGUCUGGCUUUGGCUCUAAACAGAACAAGAUGCAAAGGUUAGCAUAGCAUAUAAAGUACGAAGCAUGAAAAGAAGGGGGUGAAGUACUUACCCAGCUACGGUUUUGAGAGGAGGGAGUUGGGUCGUUGUUGACUCGCCAGAGGAUGAAGGAGGUGUCACCUGAUAAUUCGAAUCAGACGGAUUAAGAGGUUGUCGGAAAUAGCCUGCCUUGGGAUAAGAAGUGUCAGAAGUGCGUGAGACCUCAGAUCAGCGUUUUCAAACCGGGGUGUCCGGUAAACCGGUCGAAGUAACCUUUUGACCGCUAUGUCGGGUUGUGCGGCGAGCCUCGUGAUGAUGUUUCUUCAAAAUAAAUGUUGGAUCCAAGUGAGCAAGAGGAUGAGACAAGCUUACUUUCUGGACCGCUUGACAGAUUUUCUGUGUUGGCAGAGAGUCUGAACCGGAGGAAAGGAUAAUUACCUCUGCAUCGUCAGCUUGGCUGCCCUCAACGUCCUCCUGAUAAGUAUCAUUGUCAAUGAGAUGCAUGAAAAAUGAACCAAGUGAAUCAAGUUCUACCUCAACUUCCGGUUCAUCCGGGUCGUCAUCCAGUUCUAAACUGAGGCGUUCAGGUGCCUUCCUCUUUGUGGUUUUCUUGACGGCUUUUGUUUUAGGACGGGGAGGCUUUGCUACUUUUUCUUGAGGUUUCUUCUUCCAGAAUGGAUCAUCACCCUAUUUAAAAAUAAGCAGAAGGGUAUUCAAAGAUUGUACAGUCUAAAGAUAUCAAGUGUAAAGUGGAAGAACAAUACUUACAGCAGGUGGUUUGUUUUGCGUGUAAAAAGGGUUUAAUCCGGUCCGGUGACAGACAGCUUCCAAUUUGUUCAAUAUUUUCUUGACAACCUCAUUGACUUCUUCAUCUGUUAGCUGAAUAUUGAUAUGACGUUGGGAGUCUUCUACUUCACCAGUAUACUCGCACAUUAAGCCGGAGCGGUGACUUAACGGCAAAUACUCCAGGAUAUCCAGCAACGGACGAAGUCUACACCUGUUAAACCGUUGGCCAAGAAGGCUCUCAGCUUGGCGAGUUGAGGUGCGUACAGGGCCCGUUCCUGGGCACUUAGUCGUUGUGGAAGUGGAUGAGUAUUGGCAAGCCGGUGGGCACGGUAACCCGGCAGAGGGUUCUCAUCUUCACGGGAGGUGUCUCUACAAUAGAACCAAGUUUGAUUCCAUUCUUUAGGGCGAUUGUGCAGCUUGGCAUGAGGAAAUUCAACCUCUUUUCUGAAUAGAUACGCCGCCAAGUUCAGUAUUGGGUCCAUCUACAAACUCAGUGCGACGGUUCAGAUGGAAGAAAUCUCGGAACAACUCAACAGUUGGCUCUUCUUGUAGGUACACUUCACAGAAAACUUGAAAGUUGCAUAUAUUGGAUACCGAAUUGGGUCCAAUAUCUUGAGGGUGGAGUUGAAAGCUGGCAAGCACAACCCAAAAAACCUUUGAUCCAGGCGGUUUAAAACCACGGCCUAUGUGAUCAACAAACACCACUACCUCACCCUGCUUAGGGGUGGGAGGAUUUUCCAGCCCAGGAACUCGCCACCGGAUCUCAUUCUUCUUUGGUGAAGUACCGAUCUUGACCAUUCCAUUUAGUUGCUCCUCUGUAACCUGAGAGGGAGCCCAGUUGCAGGAAUAAAACUGCUUGGCCAUUGCAAGUGAAAAGCUGGAAAGAAAUGUCGGUUUACAAUUCAUUCAUAGUGAUGCAUAAGGUGCAACAGGACAAAGGAAUCCAAGUAUGUGAAAUUGGUAAACCGGAGGAUGAUACAAUUGUGAAUGACAAAGCGAUAAGUGGAAAAAGAGAUAUACACAUAUUAUUAAACCGGAGUAUGACAACGGAGAUAAAGGGAUUGCCGGUUUACAAGGGGACUAAUGGUAUAUAAUAGAUUACUCUCUACAAGGGUAAACUGCCUAUGUGAUAAAGAAGGUACAUAUCUAAGGCAAGAACGACUAAGGUAAAACAGGUUUCACAAGAUUGCAUUGAAAUUCUGGAUCUACCGUAUGUCAGGAAAAGGGAAAAAUAUUGAGACUUAAAAGUUUGGUCCUGAAGCAGUUCACAAAGGGUCCAGAUCAAGUUACGAUGUAUUUAAAGUUUGGGUCAAAUGGCUAAGAUAAGGAGUUCCAUAGCUACAGUGCGGAACACGCCAAGAUUGAGCUCCGCUAUCUAUGGGUGGACGAAGAACACAAGGGGAGCGACAUGAACCCGCACGAACCCUAAUGGAUCUACAGAGGAAAGAGGAAGGGCUUACCGCUGCUCUUGAGGUAGCGGAGAUGCGCCGCGUAUUUCUGGUGUGACCUGGUCGAUGCAGCGGCCGUUGGUGAUGCAGAGGUGAAGCUCGAUGACGGCGGCAUUGCAAGGAGGAAGAAGAAGCGAGGAGACGAAGGGGGAAAAGUAAGAUGACCCUUGGUCCUAUUUAUAAGGUAAGUGGAGAGGUGACAGGCGCGAGAAUCGAGGAGCCUGAAUAUUGGAUACCUAACGGAGUGGUCGCCUCGAUUGUCGGAAGCUCAUUAACUGAAGGUGAGAGGUAUCAUUUUUAAAUAAUAAAGUGACGUCAUGGCGGUUUAUCAUGAUCCUGGAGUAUGACAUCAUGGCGGUUUACAAGAUCAAAGCAAAGAUGCAAAGGAGGAAUUUUUCUAAGUGUUGAAGAUUGACAUGAACAAGUUCAAAUCAAUCUGGGGCCUAAUGUUGGGGAUAUUACUACUGGAUGUAAACCGGCCAGGAGUAGCCGGGUUAACCUUAUAAAGAUUAGAAGCCCAUGAAGACGUAAGGAUGGUGGCGCUUUACAAAGGCCCAAGGCCCAAAGGCGGUUAAGGCCUGUAGAUGUAAACCGACUUUCUCAUGUAACUUGUAUUGUAAGAUAGGAAGGAUAGAGACCGAGCCGGACACGUUUAUGAUCCGGACUCGGGACUCCGUAAACCGGCGGGCGUUAACCUGUGUAUAUAAAGGGACGAUCCGGCAGCGGUUUAGGGACAACACACAACAACUCAAGAGCCAGGCAAAGCGGAAUCGCUCCCUGGUCAUUGAAACCCUAGCAAUACCAACACAACUAGACGUAGGCUUUUACCUUCAUCGAAGGGGCCGAACUAGCAUAAAAUUCUCGUGUCCCUUGUCCGGUUUAACCCCUUUAAGCUAACCCAUAGCGAUGGCUCCACGACUAAGUCCUUUCACGUGGAUAUCUACCGUGACAAAACCACGACAGUACCCGUCAUCGUGCUUUCAGACAACCAAGGUUUGAACAAAAUCUCAAUGGAUUCUGCUACUAUGCUUCCCGACUGAUCUGGGGUAAGUGCCCGCGAGGAGCAACUUGGUGACAUUCGAUCAUCUCUCGGAAGAGGUUAACUUGUGAUCAGAGUAUGGAUGGGUCAUUAAAUCCGGGCAAAAAGAUUGACGCAUGGACUGUUCUCUCGGAGAGAUGCCAUUCUUGUCCCGGAGGAACGUCAAUACGAGUCGGUUCUAGAUCCAAACUUACGAGUUUCACGCUUUGAGUCCUGGAAGAAGGCUCAAAACAGGUCCACGGAGGAGUGUUAAACUCACCUUAUAGCAAAUUUUUUUGGUAGCUGACGGGAGCCUUAGAACUUGUUUGUUUGUUGUUCGCCGCAUGGACCUAGCAAUUUUUUUGGUAGCCGAUGGGAGCCUUAGAACUUGUUUGCUUGUUGUUCGCCACUCGCACCGGUCAGGCCGUACCGAGUGGAGAUUACUCUAGUGGGGUCAUGUUGAGUGCACCCAUUGGGUGUAGUCCCCGAGACCGUCGUCGACUGCGGGCAGUCGGCGGGGGUCUGAGAGAACUAAAAAUCUUCUUAGCUCGUACGGAUAGAAGUUGUUCCUCUCCAACUCGGAGGUCGAGUAGUACUUGAGGAUCUGGUACUGGUCUAGCUUGCCCUUCCUCGACUCAGAAGUCGAGUAGCACUUGAGUGAUCUGGAGAUGGUCUUUGAUGUCUACUACACAACCUUCUUCUUGUAGACGUUGUUGGGCCUCCAAGUGCAGAGGUUUGUAGGGCAGUAGCAAAUUUCCCUCAAGUGGAUGACCUAAGGUUUAUCAAUCCGUAGGAGGCAUAGGAUGAAGAUGGUCUCUCUCAAGCAACCCUGCAACCAAAUAACAAAGAGUCUCUUGUGUCCCCAACACACCCAAUACAAUGGUAAAUUGUAUAGGUGCACUAGUUCGGCGAAGAGAUGGUGAUACAAGUGCAAUAUGGAUAGUAGAUAAUGGUUUUUGUAAUAUGGAAAUAUAAAAACGCAAGGUAACUAAUGAUAAAAGUGAUCAAAACAGUAUUGCAAUGCGUUGAAACAAGGCCUAGGGUUCAUACUUUCACUAGUGCAAGUCCCCUCAACAAUAAUAACAUAAUUGGAUCAUAUAACUAUCCCUCAACAUGCAACAAAGAGUCACUCCAAAGUCACUAAUAGCGGAGAACAAACGAGGAGAUUAUGGUUGUUGGGGAACGUAGUAAUUUCAAAAAAAUUCCUACGCACACACAGGAUCAUGGUGAUGCAUAGCAACGAGAGGGGAGAGUGUGUCCACGUACCCUCGUAGACCGAAAGCGGAAGCAUUAUGACAACGCGGUUGAUGUAGUCGUACGUCUUCACGAUCCGACCAAUCCAAGUACCGAACGCACGGUACCUCCGAGUUCUGCACACGUUCAACUCGAUGACGUCCCUCGAACUCCGAUCCAGCCAAGCUUUGAGGGAGAGUUCCGUCAGCACGACGGCAUGGUGACGAUGAUGAUGUUCUACUAACGCAGGGCUUCGCCUAAGCACCGCUACGAUAUGACCGAGGUGGAUUAUGGUGGAGAGGGGCACCGCACACGGCUAAGAGAUCAAUUGUUGUCUAUGGGGUGCCCCCUGGCCACGUAUAUAAAGGAGUGGAGGAGGGGAGGGGCCGGCCCUCUCUAUGGCGCGCCCUAGGGGAGUCCUACUCCCACCGGGAGUAGGAUUCCCCCUUUCCUAGUAGAACUGGGAACCCUUCCAUGUAGUAGGAGUAGGAGGGAAGGAAAGGGAAGGGAAAAGGAGAAGGAAGGAAGGGGGCGCCCCCCUCCUCCCUAGUCCAAUUCGGACCAGCCCAUGUGGAGGGGUGUGGCCACCCUUUGAGGCCUUUCUCUCCUUUCCUGUAUGGCCCAUUAAGGCCCAAUAUGAAUUCCCGUGACUCCCCGGUACUCCCAAAAAUACCUGAAUCACUCGGAACCUUUCCGAUGUCCGAAUAUAGUCAUCCAAUAUAUCGAUCUUGACGUCUCGACCAUUUCGAGACUCCUCGUCAUGUCCCCGGUCUCAUCCAGGACUCCAAGCUCCUUCGGUACAUCAAAACACAUAAACUCAUAAUAUAACCGUCAUCGAACUUUAAGCGUGCAGACCCUGCGGGUUCGAGAACUAUGUAGACAUGACCGAGACACGUCUCCGGUCAAUAAGCAGUAGCGGAACCUGGAUGCUCAUAUUGGCUCCCACAUAUUCUUCGAAGAUCUUUAUCGGUCAGACCGCAUAACAACAUACGUUGUUCCCUUUGUCAUCGGUAUGUUACUUGCCCGAGAUUCGAUCAUCGGUAUCUCAAUACCUAGUUCAAUCUCGUUACCGGAAAGUCUCUUUACUCGUUCCGUAAUACAUCAUCCCGCAACUAACUCAUUAGUUGCAAUGCUUGCAAGGCUUAUAGUGAUGUGCAUUACCGAGUGGGCCCAGAGAUACCUCUCCGACAAUCGGAGUGACAAAUCCUAAUCUUGAAAUACGCCAACCCAACAAGUACCUCUGGAGACACCUGUAGAGCACCUUUAUAAUCACCCAGUUGAGAUGGAAGAAGAUCAGUACCCCAAGACGAAGUUUGUUCCUCAACAAGAGAAGUAUGAGCCCACUUAUUUCAAGGGAACACAAGCUCAAGAUGAUCUUCCACCACAAGACCACAAGCUAAAAGGAAAGGACAAGCUUCAAGAAGAGAUUGAUUCAUUUGAAGAAGCUCCAAAGGCCUUGGUUAAGUGGGUUCCGAAGACUACUUCAACUUCUACUUCAUCAAGUAUUACUACAACUCCAAGGAUUCCCAUCAAGUUGAUGUGGGUCCCAAAGAAUAAGAACUAGAGAGUUCUUGAGGGUGACUCCGCCAACAUACUUUGCGCAUAUUCAUUUUGGAAAGGACAAGUGCAAUCAACUUUCAUAUAUUGCACUAGUUCAAGGAGUCACAAACCCUCUUGUUGGUAAGACAAGGGACAAGGUAACCUAAUGCUUUCAUGGACAUCAUCAUAUGUGUAUCUCACUCUAUGUCUAUGGAUAUCCUUGUAUGUUCCUUGUGGGACUAACCCAUGUAGGUAUUGAAAGUGCAACUCACUCAAAUGGAUUGGUCCAAAUAAUCUACAUCAACAUUGAGCAUCCACAUCUUCAACAUCUACAUGAAGUCAUCAUCGACAAAACCCAAGGUUAGUUCAUCCCUCUUAGGGGGAUAUCACAUCUAGGGGGAGAUUUGCUCUAAGAAUUGAGCUAAAGCAACUCUAAUGGUGUGAACACAACAAUGCUUUAUGUAAAAGUGGUAACCCCACUUGUGCUUAAACGAUGAGUAUGACCUACGAUCAAAUGUUCUCAUUUCACUCAUCAGUCAAUAUACUCAUAUAUAGAUGACCUAGUCAUUGCCAAUUGCUUGAUAGAUGCUAGAGUGUUUUGUGCAUGCUUUUCCACAUAUUUCAUUUGCUAUCUUAUUGAGUGAGCAUGUUGGUUGCAUAAUUUUCUCCAUUCAAGGACAUCCAUUUGUUGCUUUGAUUGUUUGGUGCUUAUCUUUGCCAAAUGGAUGGACAAGAAUGCCUAAGAACUCCCUAUAGCUAUCUAUAUGUUUCUCAUCUCAAACUCUAUUCAUGCUACAUCACAAAGUUUGAUCAAGUCGAAUUCGGACCCUCCGGGUGAGGAGCACUCAGAGCCAGCGAUCCAUCAAGGGCUUAAACUUCCAAAACCUCUUAAUGGCUUUCGGUCUGACCGAUUCAUUCCCUUCGGUCCCACCAAAAUUGUUGAGUUGAUCUAGGUUUUCACCUCGGUGCAACCAAUUAGAACUCUUUGCUCUCACUGAGUUGCAGUAACCACUUGCGAUUCUGCAUCUUGGUGCCACUGAGUCGUUCCACUCGGUCACAUCGACAGUGACUAGGUAUAUAUAUGCCGCGGGUUGAAAUUUGGAAAAAAUUUCAAACACCCAAUCGCGCCUACCCAGCUCUGCCCCCCUCCUGGUCUUCGGAUCGUCUUCGUCGUCGCCAUCGUCCUCCUGCCACUGGUCUCCGCCACCGUCAACGGGAAUCUCCACCGCCGUUGUCGCCGUAGCGAGUUCGUCGCCAAGUUAGGGUACAGACUCGAUCUCUUUGUGCUUUCCUUAACUCUGAUUCUUGCACAAAGAUCAAUGCCAAGUUUCUUGCCAUGAUUGAGACAAAUCUAUCCACCAAAAUUUUCCUUUAGAAUAGAUUUGAUGCAAAAACUUAGGGUUAGGUUUCCGCCGAACUCAUCUCGGACCGGCCGAUCUGAAGAUUUCGGUCUCACUGAUUUGGCUCAGGCCAUUCCACAUGUACUACUCGGUCUGACCGAAGUGUACGAAUGACGAAUCGGUGUGACCAAGUUCUCUUUCUCUGUGGAACCCUAGCAUCUCGGAGUCAUAGAACUGCAUUUCGGUCUGACCGAAACUGUAUGUUUAGACUCUAAAGUUGCUUCGGUGUAACCGAGUUUGUCAUAUCGGUAGCUCCGAAAUGCUUUCUGCAGGAAACUAAAGUUGAGUUUUUGUCUCAAUAUUUUUGCAAAAUAGUUGUACUUUGUGAUGCUCAUCCACUCUACCUAUACCUAUAUAUUCACAGGGUCUGUUUCAAAGAUGUCAGACGGCAGUAAGAACAGGUUAGAGGAGCAGCUGAAUCUUAGUGAGGGCACUAGUCCCUCCAACAGCAGCUAUGAUGAAGGUAGCAGAAGCACCCCAAGCAAUUUGCCUAAGGCUACAACUAGGACAAGAAAGAAGAAAACCUCAGAAUCUGAAGAUGAGGACUUUGUUGUUGAUGAGGAAGUAACCUCAAAGAAGAAGGUGCUCAAGAAGGAGCAAGUUGCAGCUGCUGCCAUCAAGCCUGGUAUGCAUAAGAAAGCUCCUGCCAAGAGGAAGCCAAUGUCAAAAGCCAAAGCCUCCACUCUAGAAACCAUGGAACCAAGAGAGGAAGAGGUUGCUGGAGGAAAGAAGGGGAAGGAAAGAGUCAAGAAGACUAUGGCCAAAGUCAUUGGCAGAUCAUCUAUGAUGAGAGAGUCGGAUGAAGAUGAGGAGGAGGAAGAGCCAGCUGCACCACCUCCAAAGUCUCAGAAGCUCAUAGGGGAUGCUAUCAAGUCUGGGGCUGCUCCAUCUAAGCCCAAGACAGCCCCCAAGCCUCCAUCUCAAGCAUCAAAACCAUUUGCACCCAAGAGAUCCACUAGGAACAUUUCUACUUCUGAGAAGAACAAGGCCCCAAUGCCUGAAGUUCAAGAGGAUGAGGAGCAGCAAGUGCUCAGAAAAUUGAAGCCCAAGAUACCUGACAAUAAUGAUGAUCAUCCAGUUGCUGAAAAUAUGAAGCUAAGAAAGGAUGCAGGUCUGAGAUUGUGGAGAAAAACUGAUCCAUAUGCUAUAAGGAGAAGAACUGUUGUUGAUUAUCGCUUUCGCACCAAAGAACAGCAAGAUUUCUAUGAGGUAGUCUUGUUGGACAAGAAGCCAAUUGUCUGUGACAUGAAAUGGGUUGACUGGAAGUACAUUGAUGACAAUGAGAAUUACUUCCCAUGAGUACAUGAAAGCUUAAGAAUGAACGGUGUUAACACUUUUGUUGGUCAAAAUUUGACAAAAUGGAACAAUGAAAUGAUUAUGCAAUUCUAUUCAACUGCUCAUUUCUAUCCAGAUGGCAAAAUAGUCUGGAUGAUAGAAGGCACAAGGUAUCAAUCGUCAAUUGUUGAAUGGGCCAAGUUGAUCAAUGCCCCCCAGGAAGCUGAAGAUGACAUAGAUGUGUAUGCCAAGCCCAGAAAGGAUCAACUCUAUGGCUCACAUGUAUAAGCUAAUUCCUGAUGAUGCAUUGAAAACUCACAAGUUUGGAUCCAUCUAUUAUCUGCUGUCAGGUCUAACCAUGAUGAACACUAUAUUGAGGCACACUCUGUUGCCCAAGUCAGGAGAUCAUAGAAUGAUCCGUGGUCACUCAAUCAACUUGCUUCAUAUGUUUGAUGUGCCAAAGAAGUUCAAAGUGAUGAGCUUAAUAGUUGAAUAUGAAGAGAACAACAGUUGACCAGAAAAGAUCAUGUGGAUAUGCCCCUCAUAUUCAGAUGCUAAUCAACUCCAAGAUGGGGACAGUGACAUAUCUUCUUGAUAAAGAGCAUCUUCCCCUGAGGCCAGAAUUUGAGGACAACGAGGUUGUCAUGGAUGCAUCACAUCCUACAUCAGUAGAAGCCUAGGAGAAGAGACAAAAAGCAAAGGCAGCAAAGACUUCAACAAUACCAGAUGCUUCAGUUGUCAAUGUCUAGACCAAGCAAGAUCAACUUAGUUAUCUGCUUGAGGCAACCGCGAGAAUUGAGAAAGGACUAGCCACCCUAACUCGGAAUCAAGAGAGUCUUGAGAGGAUCUUUGAGACUAAACUUCAUGAUCUAGAUGUGAAGGUCAGUGAGAUUCAGACCACUAUUGAGAAGCUACAGGAAGGGAUUGAAGACAGGAAUGAUAGAUCUACCACCGACACUUUUCAGCGUGUGCCAAGGGCACUGAGGUCUUCAGCAAUGCCAGUAGUCAAUGACACGAGGACUACCAUCUCAGCACCUACAUCAACUGCCCCAGUCAUUCCUCCAGUUGCAACUCGUCCAGCUCCUCAAACAUCUUCAGAAGCGUUUGCAAAUGAUGUCCUCUCCAUGCCAUCUACGCACUGGAGAUCGUUCCUAUGGUGUUGUAUAGCACUAUGUAUUUUCGAGCUUUUUGGUAACUUGUUGCCAAAGGGGGAGAAAAUGUAUAGAUCAUUAGGCUUCGAGAGAGAGAUAGUGUUUUGCCUUUUGUUUGCCUCUCUUGCUACUUUGAUCAUUUGCUUUGAUCAUGUGUGCUUGUUUGAUUCCUAUGCUACUAUAUUUGUGCUUGUUUGUGAGAUACUUUUGUGGUCAUGUGGUUGAUCAUAUUAUACUUUAAUGUGUGCUUGAAUGAUGAUAUCUUAAUACUUAUGUAUGAUCAAUCAUGUUUCCCUUGGUGAUGAGUGCAUGUUCUUUAUAUCUUAUCAUUUUGAGCGCUCCACCAAGAUGUAUGUGACAUGGAAGAGUGACUCAUGAUCCUAAUCGAUUGUGCAUUUGCAUUCAAAAGCAAAUUUUAAAUAAUGCACAAAUUUAGGGGAGCUCUUGCUUAUCACAUACUUCUCAAAGUGGCGAUGUAUUUCAAUUACCAAAAGGGGGAGACUGAAAGUGCAACUAAGCCUUGGUUGGUUUUGGUAAUUCAUAACAACAUAUAGCUCAUUGAACUAAUAUCCUUUCAAGUUAAAUAUUUUAGAAAGUUCAAUGGUUGGCAUGGCAUGGACUAGAGAUGUGGACCCCUCAAAAUGCUAAGGACAAACAUUGGCAAAAGCUCAAGACUCUUCAUUUUCAUUUUAGUGAUCCAAGAUCACAUUGAGUCCAUAGGAAAAGCCGAUGCUAUUAAAAGGGGAUGAGGUGUUGCUUAAUGGCCUACUUGCUCAAAGUGCUUAGUGACAUGCUCCAAAGCCCUCAACCACUUCCUCAUUUACAAAUAUGUCCAAAACCUAAAGUCAAACUCAGCCCCACCAAUUUGAUCUAUCCGGUGCCACCGAGUUCUUUUGACAUAGCCACUGCCAGAAACCCUAGUCAAUUCGGUCUCAUCGAUCGGGAUCUUGCUCUCACCGAGAUGGCAGUGCAAACUCUCUGUUUCCCUUCAUAAUGUUCCGGUCGUACCGAAAUGAGCGAUCGGUCCCACCGAGUUCGCAAGGUAAACCCUCGGUUUCCCUUCGUAAUGCUUUGGUCUUACUGAAAUGAGCGAUCGGUCCCACCGAGUUUGCCUGACCAACUCUCUGUUAACUCAUUGCUGAAAUCGGUCUCACUGAGUUCCUGCAAUCGGUCACACCAAGAUGAGGUUUUGCCCUAACCCUAGCACAUCGGUCCCACCGAGUUGAUCAUGUCGGUCCCAUCGAGAUUCCUAACGAUCACAUUUUGAACUGAACCGGUCUCACCGAAUUCUCCUAUUCGGUCUGACCAAGUUGGGUCAAAUGUGUGUAACAGUUGGAUUUUGUGUGGAGGCUAUAUAUACCCCUCCACCCCCUUCUCUAUUCAAGAGAGAGCCAUCAGAAUGUGCCUAGACUUCCACUACUCAUUUUUUGAGAGAGAACCACCUACUCAUGUGUUGAGACCAAGACAUUCCAAUCCAGCCACAAGAAUCUUGAUCUCUAGCCUUCCCCAAGUUUCUUUCCACCCAAAUCAUCUUUCCACCAUAUCCAAAUCUGUGAGAGAGAGUUGAGUGUUGGGGAGACUAUCAUUUGAAGCACAAGAGCAAGGAGUUCAUCAUCUACACACCAUCUAUUACCUUUUGGAGAGUGGUGUCUCCUAGAUUGGUUAGAUGUCACUUGGGAGCCUCCGACAAGAUUGUGGAGUUGAACCAAGGAGUUUGUAAGGGCAAGGAGAUGGCCUACUUCGUGAAGAUCUACCCGAGUGAGGAAAGUCCUUCGUGGGCUAUGGCCAUGGUGGGUGUCGAUGUCAAAACCGGCCGAUCUCAGGUAGGGGGUCCCGAACUGUGCGUUUGAAGAUCGAAGGAAAUAUGAGACAAGGGUGACACGAUGUUUACCCAGGUUCGGGCCCUCUUAAUGGAGGUAAAACCCUAUGUCCUGCUUGAUUGUAUUUGUUGAGUAUAGGGGUUUCAAGAGUUGAUCUACCUCAAGAUCGUAAUGGCUAAACCCUAGAUGUCUAGCCUAUAUGAUUUGUGAUAGCCUCUACGAACUAAACCCUUCGGUUUAUAUAGACACCGGAGGGGCCUAGGGUUGUACAGAGUCGGUUUACAAAGAAAGGAAACUACACAUCCGGAUGCCAAGCUUGCCAUCCACGCAAAGGAGAGUCCCAUCUGGACACAGGGGAAGGCCUUCUAUCUUGUAUCUUCACGACCCAUCAUUCUAGCCCAUGCUACACAGCCCGGACACCCGAGGACCCCAUAAUCCAGGACUCCCUCAGUAGCCCCAGAACUUGCCUUCAAUGACGAUGUAGUCUUUGGCUCAUGUCUUUGGCUUUGCAAGGCAGGUUCUUCAUUAUAAUCCGGAUUGUCGAUAAUUCGGCGACAACCUCAACGUCUUUUACAAUUCCCCCUGAUGGCACUUCGAUUUUCAUGCGCGGGAUGAAUAUGAACGGUCCAUGUCUUUUUUCAAAUAAACCCUUCACCACGCUCGGGCGGCGCCUAUAUAAAGGGAUAUGGAUCUCCCAAGGCCAUCUCGCACUGCGCAGAAGGAAAAACGGCCAAGUCUAGCCACAAAACAAAAGCCCUCAUCAUGGCCAGCGCCCCAGGCUCCUCUUCGCGCCCCCACGGCCCUCAAGAGGGAGAUUGGCAGAGUUGCUCCGUGCCUCAUAUUCAACUAAGUUGGCUCCAAACACAGGGCUACCUCCCUCUCGCAGAUCUAGUUCCCGUUCGAGCGGGAUUAUACUCAAUCGGCAACGACGCGAUAGCUGAGAAUUUCCCCAAUCCCAAUAAGGAGGAGAGGGUGUGCUUCGUCCCUUUUCUGUUACGGGGCCUGGGAUUUCCAAUCCAUCCCUUCCUCCGGGGGCUAUCAAAAUUUUACGGCAUCCAACUGCAUAACCUCACCCCAGGUUCGAUUCUCCACAUCUCAGGCUUUGUUGCCCUCUGUGAGUUAUUUCUAGUCAUCGAGCCCCAUUUCAGAUUAUGGAGGAAAUUCUUCUGCCUCAUUCCCCGCCAUAAGGGGGGUUCCAUAUUUGAAGUGGGUGGUGCCGAAGUAUGGCAUAUUACUGGAUCCGGAUACCCUGUAGGAACUCCUAAAGAAGCGUACCCGCAGUGGUCUUCGGAAUGGUUCUAUAUGGAUGAUGUUCCGCUGCCAUAUCCAGUCAGGCGCAGUCUCCCUGAAUUUUCCAGCGCUCCCCUAAAGAAGCGCCUCAACUGGCGUCCCCGAAGUCCCAAAGAAGAGGACAAUGUGGAGAUACAGAGGUUGGUCAGCAAGGUCAGGCUGUUGGCCCACUCCGGACUCUCAAUAGUUGAAGUCAUGGCGAUCGCAAUAAAGAGGUGUGUGCAGCCUCUUCAAUCCAGAGUAACUCCUUUAUGGUGUUACAACGGAGAAGACGACGCGUCCCGUUACAGACGGCAAGGCCCGGAUACCCCAGCCAAAUUGGCCUCCAUUUUGGCCGAUCUAUACAAGGGCGAAAAAGAAGAUUUUCUCCGGUUAAACUGUCGGGAGGCCUAUUCCAUGUACACCCCUAUUGAAUGGGUAAGAUCUCGAUUCGGUUGUGCUUAUUUUAUUGCAUGACAGACACUAAUCGAAUGUACUUUUUUUGUUGCCACCAACUAGUCAUGGAGGAGGAUGAUCGAGGACGUCCACUGUCCUGCUCCUCAGCCGGAGGAUCAGACUCGCGAUAAAGAUGUUGGUUUUUGCGAGGAUCCAGAUAUAUAUAUAUAUAGAGAGAGAGAGAGAGAGAGAAUUUGACGAUGGGGUAUUCUAUCAGGUGAUCCUUGACGGUUUGGAGGUGGCCAUCAUCACUGACUACCCUCGCCUUUACCCAUUCUGCAUUGUGAGUAUCCAGAGGCUUCUUAAUAAGAGGUCCCCAUCUGUACCCUUAUCCAUUGUACUAAUCUGGAUCUUUAACAGGAUCGACGCUCCAGGGACCGUGCCUCCUCGAGGGUGGCCCCCACACAAGGCCGUCGUUCAAAACGGAAAGGGACCAGAAGUACCAAGGAGACUUCAUAGUCUUCCAAGAGGUAUGUGUACUUAAUGCAUGCCUAGGCAUGAGUCUGGAUUAUUAAGAGUCUCCCCCUUUUUAUUUUUAGGAGGAGUACGCGGCAAACGGUGGGAAAAUGCCCAAUUAGCCAAAUGCCCACUAAUCCGGUGUCGAACUCGCUGGCUAGGACGCAAGCAAAUGUCGCGCCCGUUCUGCCUCCUAAAGAGGAUUCGGAUGACGUGUCGGUCACGAAUUCUGAAGUGGAGAGCGUGAUGAAUCACCGUCGCUCGAAGGAAGCUAUGCGUGCUCGGCCUUGUCCGAACAAGAAUUCACCGCACUGAGUUCGACGGAUGCUUAUAUCCGAGCCGCUCAAGAUGGCCUUGCCAGAGCUUACAUCUGUUCUUAAUGAAAAUACACAUAAAGUUUGACACAAUUUUGCAUGGUCGUAUGCCAGUAGCCCCCGAGACUUGAAGCAGUUGGCCCAACUGAUUUAAGGGUCAUUAUAUCAUUAGGUACUCACGGAGAAAAAUAACAGAUUGUCCAAGGAGCUUGAAGAAUAUCGGACCAAGCUAACUGUUGUCACAGCUGAACUAGAAAAUUUGAAGAAUUCUAAGAAGGCACCUGAUGGUAAGCACAACAGUGUCCGGAAAAUACAAUUAUGCGCCAAUAAUGAUUUUUAAAUAUGCAUUGUUUUGUUUUCAGCGGCAAGAUCGAUAGAGCAGUUGGAGGUGAGGCUAAGGGCUGCUCGGGCGGACAAACAACAUGCCGAAGGGCAAGAAGCCAUUGUUCGACGUGUAUUAACAUGGACCAUUAAUGAGAAGAACAAAUGACAGGAUGCAAACAUCAAGCAAGCCGAAGAGCUAAAGGACGUACGAGCCCAACUAUUGGAUGCCUUGAAGGAGAACAGAAAACUGAAAGGCGGCAUAUUCAGUAUGUCCUUUAUCCUGACUUUCAUACGGUCCCCUGAUGGAAAAUUUUACUAAAUUGUUCCUGUAGGUUUGCUAACCGGGCGGCCCGAGGGAGAAGCGUCUGGAUUUCAAGGCGACCUGCUGCAAGAGCUAUGCCAAGUGCACGAGCAACCUCAGAAAGCCAUGAGGAACAUGGCUAAGGCUUUGUGGCCAUCCGAUUCUUCUCGAGAAAUUAUGGAGGAGCUCGUGAAUUUAUUCAAGGGAGCUCUAUGCUCAAAACAAUAAUAAGCUUCUAUUGAGAGAAGCCCCCAGUUGUGGUGGGGUGUGUACAUUUACGAAUGUAUACCCCGCAAGUGUGUGGCUUACCAGAACACAUGUUAGAAAUCGUAUAAAACGAGAAAAAGGAAAAAUUGAAAGGAGGAAAAUGAACGAACAAAGGUAUAUGUCCGGACUUAGGCGUAGAAUCUUCAGAGCCGAGAAGUGUUCCAUGGGUUCGGCUCUAAGCGAUUAUCCGAUGCAUUGUGAAGGCGAUAGGCUCCCCCAAUGAGAACUUCAUCUAUAAUGAAGGGACCCUCCCAUUUGGGUUUGAGCUUGUCCUUUUUCUUCUCUAGUAGGCGUAGAAAGAGCUCACCAACAUUAUAAAUCUUUGUCCGCGCUUCUCUGCUUUGAUAUCUCCGAGCCUGUUGUUGAUAAAAUGCGGAACGUGCCUUCGCAACAUCGCGCUCCUCCUCCAGGCCGUCUAGAUCGUCAUGUCGAUUGAGCUCGGCUUCUCUCUCUUCAUACAUGCGCACUCGAUGUGAGUCAUGAAUAAUGUUGCAAGGCACGAUAACUGAUGUCUACUACACAACCUUCUUCUUGUAGACAUUGUUGGGCCUCCAAGUGCAGAGGUUUGUAGGACAGUAGCAAAUUUCCCUCAAGUGGAUGACCUAAGGUUUAUCAAUCCGUAGGAGGCGUAGGAUGAAGAUGGUCUCUCUCAAACAACCCUGCAACCAAAUAACAAAGAGUCUCUUGUGUCCCCAACACACCCAAUACAAUGGUAAAUUGUAUAGGUGCACUAUUUCGGCGAAGAGAUGGUGAUACAAGUGCAAUAUGGAUAGUAGAUAAUGGUUUUUGUAAUCUGAAAAUAUAAAAACAGCAAGGUAACUAAUGAUAAAAGUGAGCGUAAACGGUAUUGCAAUGCUAGGAAACAAGGCCUAGGGUUCAUACUUUCACUAGUGCAAGUUCUCUCAACAAUAAUAACAUAACUAGAUCACAUAACUAUCCCUCAACAUGCAACAAAGAGUCACUCCAAAGUCACUAAUAGCGGAGAACAAACGAAGAGAUUAUGGUAGGGUAUGAAACCACCUCAAAGUUAUUCUUUCCAAUCAAUCCGCUGGGUUAUUCCUAUAACUGUCACAAACAGCCCUAGAGUUCGUACUAGAAUAACACCUUAAGACACAAAUCAACCAAAACCCUAAUGUCACCUAGAUACUCCAAUGUCACCUCAAGUAUCUAUGGGUAUGACUAUACGAUAUGCAUCACACAGUCUCAGAUUCAUCUAUUCAACCAACACAUAGAACCUCAAAGAGUGCCCCAAAGAUUCUACCGGAGAGUCAAGACGAAAACGUGUGCCAACCCCUAUGCAUAGAUUCCCAAGGUCACGGAACCCGCAAGUUGAUCACCAAAACAUACAUCAAGUACAUCAAUAGAAUACCCCAUUGUCACCACGGGUAUCCCACGCAAGACAUACAUCAACUGUUCUCAAAUCCUUAAAGACUCAAUCCGAUAAGAUAACUUUAAAGGGAAAAACUCAAUCCAUUACAAGAGAGUAGAGGGGAGAAACAUCAUAAGAUCCAACUAUAAUAGCAAAGCUCGCGAUACAUCAAGAUCGUAUCACCUCAAGAACACGAGAGAGAGAUCAAACACAUAGCUACUGGUACAUACCCUCAGCCCCGAGGGAGAACUACUCCCUCCUCGUCAUGGAGAGCGCCGGGAUGAUGAAGAUGGCCACCGGAGAGGGAUUCACCCUCCGGCAGGGUGCCGGAACGGGUCUAGAUUGGCUUUCGGUGGCUAUGGAGGCUUCUGGCGGCGGAACUCCCGAUCUAUUGUCGUCUCCGAUAGUUUUAGGGUAUAUGGAUAUAUAUAUAGGCGGAAGAAAUACAUCAUGGGAGCCACGAGGGGGCCACGAGGGUGGAGGGCGCGCCCAGGGGGGUGGGCGCGCCCCCUGCCUCGUGCUCUCCUCGUUGAUCCCUUGAUGUGCACUCCAAGUCUCCUAUAUUGCUUUCUUUCCAAAAAUAACUUUUCCGAAGGUUUCAUUCCAUUUGGACUCCGUUUGAUAUUCCUUUUCUGCGAAACACUGAAACAAGGGGAAAACAGAAACUGGCACUGGGCUCUAGGUUAAUAGGUUAGUCCCAAAAAUCAUAUAAAAUAGCAUAUAAAUGCAUAUAAAACAUACCAUGUUGAUAAUAUAAUAGCAUGGAACAAUCAAAAAUAGAUACGUUGGAGACAUAUCAGCAUCCCCAAGCUUAAUUCCUGCUCGUCCUCGAGUAGGUAAAUGAUAAAAAUAGAAUUUUUGUUGUGGAAUGCUACCUAACAUAUUUAUCCAUGUAAUCUUCUUUAUUGUGGCAGGAAUAUUCAGAUCCAUAAGAUUCAAUACAAAAGUUUAAUAUUGACAUAAAAACAAUAAUACUUCAAGCAUACUAACUAAGCAAUCAUGUCUUCUCAAAAUAACAUGGCCAAAGAAAGUUCAUCCCUACAAAAUCAUAUAGUUUGGUCAUGCUCCAUUUUCAUCACACAAGAAUGCUCUCAUCAUGCACAACCCCGAUGACAAGCCAAGAAAUUGUUUCAUACUUUAGUAAUCUCAAACUUUUUUCAACUUUCACGCAAUACAUGAGCGUGAGCCAUGGAUAUAGCACUAUGGGUGGAAUAGAAUAUAAUGAGGGGGUUAUGUGGAGAAGACAAAAAGGAGAAAGUCUCACAUCGACGCGGCUAAUCAAUGGGCUACGGAGAUGCCCAUCAAUUGAUGUCAAUGCAAGGAGUAGGGAUUGCCAUGCAAUGGAUGCACUAGAGCUAUAAAUGUAUGAAAGCUCAACAAAAGAAACUAAGUGGGUGUGCAUCCAACUUGCUUGCUCACGAAGACCUAGGGCACUUGAGGAGCCCCAUUGUUGGAAUAUACAAGCCAAGUUCUAUAAUGAAAAAUUCACACUAGUAUAUGGAAGUGACAAAACAAGAGACUCUCUAUCAUAAAGAUCAUGGUGCUACUUUGAAGCACAAGUGUGGUAAAAAGGAUAGUAGCAUUGUCCCUUUUAUUUUUUUAUUUUUUUUAUUUGGCCCCCUUUUUGGCCUUUUUUUAUUUGGCCUUUCUUUUUCUUUUAUUUUUUUGGCCUUUUUUGGACAAUGCUCUAUUAAUGAUGAUCAUCACACUUCUAUUUAUUUACAACUCAAAGAUUACAACUCGAUACUAGAACAAAGUAUGACUCUAUAUGAAUGCCUCCGGCGGUGUACCGGGAUAGCAAUGAAUCAAGAGUGACAUGUAUGAAAAAUUAUGAAUGGUGGCUUUGCCACAAAUACAAUGUCAACUACAUGAUCAUGCAAAGCAAUAUGACAAUGAUGAUGCGUGUCAUAAUAAACAGAACGGUGGAAAGUUGCAUGGCAAUAUAUCUCGGAAUGGCUAUGGAAAUGCCAUAAUAGGUAGGUAUGGUGGCUGUUUUGAGGAAGAUAUAAGGAGGUUUAUGUGUGAAAGAGCGUAUCAUAUCACGGGGUUUGGAUGCACCGGCGAAGUUUGCACCAACUCUCAAUGUGAGAAAGGGCAAUGCACGGUACCGAAGAGGCUAGCAAUGAUGGAAGGGUAAGAGUGCGUAUAAUCCAUGGACUCAACAUUAGUCAUAAAGAACUCACAUACUUAUUGCAAAAAUUUACAAGUCAUCAAAAAUCAAGUAUUACGCGCAUGCUCCUAGGGGGAUAGAUUGGUAGGAAAGACCAUCGCUCGUCCCCGACCGCCACUCAUAAGGAAGACAAUCAAAUAACACCUCAUGUUUCAAAUUUGUUACACAACGUUUACCAUAUGUGCAACACAAGUAUUCCUCAAAUUCACAACUACUCGACUAGCACAAUUUUGAUAUCACUAUCUCCAUAUCUCAAAACAAUCAUCAAGUAUCAAACUUCUCUUAGUAUUCAAUGCACUUAUAUGAAAGUUUUUAUUAUAUCCCUCUUGGAUGCCCAUCAUAUUAGGACUAAAUUCAUAACCAAAACACAUUACCAUGCUGAUUAGAACUCUCAAAAUAAUAUAAGUGAUGCAUGAGAGUUCAUCUAUUUCUAUAAAAUAAAACCACCACCGUGCUCUAAAAGGAUAUAAGUGAAGCACUUGAGCAACAACAAACUACUCCGAAGGAUAUAAGUGAAGAUCAAUGAGUAGUCGAGUAAUUAUGCAACUAUGUGAAGACUCUCUAACAUUUAAGAAUUUCAGAUCUUGGUAUUUUAUUCAAACAGCAAGCAAAACUAAAUAAAAUAAAAUGACUCUCCAAGCAAAACACAUAUCAUGUGGUAAAUAAAAAUAUAGCUCCAAGUAAAGUUACCGAUGAACGAAGACGAAAGAGGGGAUGCCUUCCGGAGCAUCCCCAAGCUUAGGAUCUUGGUUGUCCUUGAAUAUUACCUUGGUGUGCCCUGGGAAUCCCCAAGCUUAGGCUCUUUCCACUCCUUAUUCCAUAGUCCAUAGAAUCUUUACCCGAAAUUUGAAAACUUCACAACACAAAACUUAACAGAAAACUCGUAAGCUCCGUUAGUAUAAGAAAAUAAAUCACCACUUAGGUACUGUUUUGAACUCAUUCUAAAUUCAUAUUGGUGUAAUAUCUACUGUAUUACAACUUAUCUAUGGUUCAUACCCUCCGAUACUACUCAUAGAUUCAUCAAAAUAAGCAAACAACACAUAGAAAACAGAAUCUGUCAAAAACAGAACAGUCUGUAGUAAUCUGGAUCAAACGUAUACUUAUGGAACUCAUAAAAUUCUCAAAUAAAUUGGUGGACCUGGGAAAUUUAUCUAUUAAUCAACUUCAAAAAUAAUUAACUAAAUAGCACUCUCCAAUAAAACAUGGCAGCAAAUCUCGUGAGCGCUAAAGUUUCUGUUUUUUUACAGCAUGAUCGCAAAGACUUCACCCAAGUCUUCCCAAAGGUUCUACUUGGCACAAACACUAAUUAAAACAUAAAACCACAUCUAAACAGAGGCAAUAUGAAUUAUUUAUUACUAAACAGGAGCAAAAAGUAAAGAACAAGAAUAGGAUUGGGUUGCCUCCCAACAAGCGCUAUCGUUUAACGCCCCUAGCUGGGCAUGAUGAUUUCAAUGAUGCUCACAUAAAGGAUAAGAAUUGAAACAUAAAGAGAGCAUCAUGAAGAAUAUGACUAGCACAUUUAAGUCUAACCCACUUCCUAUGCAUAGGGAUUUUGUGAGCAAACAACUUAUGGAAAUAAGAAUCAACUUGCAUAGGAAGGUAAAACAAGCAUAACUUCAAAACUUUAAGCACAUAGAGAGGAAACUUGAUAUUAUUGCAAUUCCUACAAGCAUAUAUUCCUCCAUCAUAAUAAUUUUCAGUAGCAUCAUGAAUGAAUUCAACAAUAUAACCAGCACCUAAAGCAUUCUUUUCAUGAUCUACAAGCAUAGAAUUUUUAUUACUCUCCACAUAAGCAAAAUUCUUCUCAUUCGGAAUAGUGGGAGUAUCAUAAGAGACUCGAAUACUAUAAAUUGUUUACACAUUAAGAGAGUGAUGUUUAGAAAAGGGGUAAUCAUAAUCAUGACAAGUUUUAUAAAGAUAAUCACUACUUUUAUAGCAUAAGUAUCAUCACAAUAAUCAUCAUAGAUAGGAGGCAUGCUGUCAUCAUUAUAAAUUUGCAUAUCAAAACUUGGGAGACUAAAAAUAUCAUCUUCAUUAAACGUAGCAUCCCCAAGCUUGGGACAAACGUUAAUUGCAGCAAAUAUAUUCUCAAAAACAUCAUCUUCAUCAAACAUAGCAUCCCCAAGCUUGGGCCUUUUCAUAUCAUAAGCAUAAUCACUCUCAUCAUUAAUAGUAUGGAUAGCACCAAUAGUAUAGCAAUUAUCAUAUUCUUCCAAGCAAGUGCCAAAAAGAUUUUCAAGAUCAUAAGAAGUAUCAUUAUCUUCCACAAUUAUAUUUUCAUGAGGCACAAUAGUAAUAGGAGCAGCAUUAUUUGGGGGAGAUAUCUUUUUACCUAUCUUCCUUUUUAUUUUCUUAUUCUUCACCACAUCAUGUGUGGGUUCAAUCCUCUUUUUGGAGCUCCUUAUUAAUGAGAUUAGUUGAAUAGGAGGCUCCUCCUCGUUACCUGAUUCAACAUAAGAAAUAAUAGGAGGGUAUUGGGAAGUCUCUUCCCUUUAAUUAAUAUUCUUUUCAUCUUCUAUUUAUUUUCUUUUCUUUAUGUAGUUGGCAAUAUAAAGAUUUUCAAUACAAUUCACCGCACAAUACAUAUAAAUUUUCUCUAGAUCAAAGCCAAGAAGUUUAUCACGGGCAAAUACUGGAAGAUAGUUAGUUAUACGUUUCAUUUCUUCGUAACCCAUAAGCAAACUAAGUUCAUUAUGAUGUGCAAGAGAAAUCAAGUCAUCACAAUUUUUGGAAACGAUUAGAUCAUGAAACAAUUUGCAUCGAAUGGUUAAAUGACCAUGUUCAUUGCAAAUCUCACAAGUAUGGCCAAGAAAAUUUAAAUUUUCAGCACAAACAUCUACCCUUUCUUGCAACAAUUUAGUUUCUAAAUACUUAUGCCUCUUGCAAAAUCUAUCUUCCCUAAUUGGUGUGUACUUGCAAACCCAAUGCACUCCACAAAAAUUGACAUGUUUAUAGGAGACAUUUUCAUCAUAACUAAUGCAAUCAUCAUUAGUACUAUGGAUAUUCAAGGAAUUCAUACUAACAACAUUGCAAUCAUGCUCAUCAUUCAAAGAUUUAGUGCCAAACAUUUUAAUGCAUUCUUCCUCUAACACUUUGGCGCAAUUUUCCUUUCCAUCAUACUCGCGAAAUAUAUUAAAAAGAUGAAGCAUAUGAGGCAAACUUAAUUCCAUAUUUUUUGUAAUUUUCUUAUAUAAACUAAACUAGUGAUAAAACAAGAAACUAGAAGAAUCGAUCGCAAGAUCUAAAGAUAUACUUUCAAGCACUCACCUCCACGGCAACGGCGCCAGAAAAGAGUUUGAUGUCUACUACACAACCUUCUUCUUGUAGACGUUGUUGGGCCUCCACGUGCAGAGGUUUGUAGGACAGUAGAAAAUUUCCCUCAAGUGGAUGACCUAACGUUUAUCAAUCUGUAGGAGGCGUAGGAUGAAGAUGGUCUCUCUCAAACAACCCUGCAACCAAAUAACAAAGAGUCUCUUGUGUCCCCAACACACCCAAUGCAAUGGUAAAUUGUAUAGGUGCACUAGUUCGGCAAAGAGAUGGUGAUACAAGUGCAAUAUGGAUAGUAGAUAAUGGUUUUUGUAAUCUAAAAAUAUAAAAACAGCAAGGUAACUAAUGAUAAAAGUGAGUGUAAACGGUAUUGCAAUGCUAGGAAACAAGGCCUAGGGUUCAUACUUUCACUAGUGCAAGUUCUCUCAACAAUAAUAACAUCAUUGGAUCACAUAACUAUCCCUCGACAUGCAACAAAGAGUCACUCCAAAGUCACUAAUAGAGGAGAACAAAUGAAGAGAUUAUGGUAGGGUACAAAACCACCUCAAAGUUAUUCUUUCCAAUCAAUCUGCUGGGUUAUUCCUAUAAGUGUCACAAACAGCCCUAGAGUUCAUACUAGAAUAACACCUUAAGACACAAAUCAACCAAAACCCUAAUGUCACCUAGAUACUCCAAUUUCACCUCAAGUAUCUGUGGGUAUGAUUAUAUGAUAUGCAUCACACAAUCUCAGAUUUAUCUAUUCAACCAACACAUAGAACCUCAAAGAGUGCCCCAAAGAUUCUACCGGAGAGUCAAGACGAAAACGUGUGCCAACCCCUAUGCAUAGAUUCCCAAGGUCACGAAACCCGCAAGUUGAUCACCAAAACAUACAUCAAGUACAUCAAUAGAAUACCCCAUUGUCACCACGAGUAUCCCACGCAAGACAUACAUCAAGUGUUCUCAAAUCCUUAAAGACUCAAUCCGAUAAGAUAACUUCAAAGGGAAAACUCAAUCCAUUACAAGAGAGUAGAGGGGGAGAAACAUCAUAAGAUCCAACUAUAAUAGCAAAGCUCGUGAUACAUCAAGAUCGUAUCACCUCAAGAACACAAGAGAGAGAGAGAUCAAACACAUAGCUACUGGUACAUACCCUCAGCCCCGAGGGAGAACUACUCCCUCCUCGUCAUGGAGAGCGCCGGGAUGAUGAAGAUGGCCACCGGAGAGGGAUUCCCCCUCCGGCAGGGUGCCGGAACGGGUCUAGAUUGGCUUUCGGUGGCGACGAGUAAAGUGACUUGCCGGUAACGAGAUUGAACGAGGUAUUGGGAUACCGACGAUCGAGUCUCGGGCAAGUAACGUACCGAUUGACAAAGGGAAUUGUAUACGUAAUUGAUUAAGUCCUCGACAUCGUGGUUCAUCUGAUGAGAUCAUCGAGGAGCAUGUGGGAGCCAACAUGGGUAUCCAGAUCCCGCUGUUGGUUAUUGACUGGAGAGCCGUCUCGGUCAUGUCUACGUGUCUCCCGAACCCGUAGGGUCUACACACUUAAGGUUCGGUGAUGCUAGGGUUGUAGAGAUAUGAGUAUGCAGUAACCCGAAAGUUGUUCGGAGUCCCGGAUGAGAUCCUGGACGUCACGAGGAGUUCCGGAAUGGUCCGGAUGUGAAGAAUUAUAUAUAGGAAGUGCAGUUUCGGCCAUCGGGAGAGUUUCGGGGGUCACCGGUAUUGUAUCGGGACCACCGGAAGGGUCCCGGGGGUCCACCCAUCCCGGAGGGCCCCAUCGGCUGAAGUGGGGAGGGGAACCAGCCCAUAGUGGGCUGGUGCGCCCCCCCUUGGGCCCCCCAUGCGCCUAGGGUUGGGAACCCUAGGGGAGGGGGCGCCUCCACUUGCCUUGGGGGGUACUCCACCCCCUUGGCCGCCGCCCCCCCUAGGAGAUCCCAUCUCCUAGGGUCGGCGCACCCCCUAGGGGGGCCUAUAUAAAGGGGGGAGGGAGGGCAGCACACACCUCAAGUCUUGGCGCCUCCCUCUCCCCUGCUACACCUCUCCCUCUCGCAGAAGCUCGGCGAAGCCCUGCUGCGAUCACUGCUGCAUCCACCACCACAACGUCGUUCUGCUGGAUCUUCAUCAACCUCUCCUUCCCCCUUGCUGGAUCAAGGAGGAGACGUCAUCUGCUCCGUAUGUGUGUUGAACGCGGAGGUGCCGUCCGUUCGGCACUUGGUCAUCGGUGAUUUGGAUCACGGCGAGUACGACUCCAUCAUCCCCGUUCUCUUGAAUGCUUCCGCUCGCGAUCUACAAGGGUAUGUAGAUGCACUCUCCUCUCGUUGCUAGUUGACUCCGUAGAUUGAUCUUGGUGAAACGUAGGAAAAUUUUUUGUUUUCUGCAACGUUCCCCAACAGUGGCAUCAUGAGCUAGGUCUAUGCGUAGUUACUAUGCACGAGUAGAACACAAAGUAGUUGUGGGCGUCGAUAUUGUCAAUUUGCUUGCCGUUACUAGUCUUAUCUUGAUUCGGCGGCAUCGUGGGAUGAAGCGGCCCGGACCAACCUUACACGUACGCUUACGUGAGACCGGUUCCACCGACUGACAUGCACUAGUUGCAUAAGGUGGCUGGCAGGUGUCUGUCUCUCCCACUUUAGUCGGAUCGGAUUCGAUGAAUAGGGUCCUUAUGAAGGGUAAAUAGAAAUUGGCAAUUCACGUUGUGGUUUUGGCGUAGGUAAGAAAACGUUCUUGCUAGAACUCUAUUGCAGCCACGUAAAACUUGCAACAACAAUUAAAGGACGUCUAACUUGUUUUUUGCAGCAAGUGUCAUGUGAUGUGAUAUGGCCAAAGUUGUGAUGAAUGAUGAAUGAUAUAUAUGUGAUGUAUGAGAUCAUGUUCUUGUAAUAGGAAUCACGACUUGCAUGUCGAUGAGUAUGACAACCGGCAGGAGCCAUAGGAGUUGUCUUUAUUUUUUGUAUGACCUGCGUGUCAUUGAGAAACGCCAUGUAAAUUACUUUACUUUAUUGCUAAACGUGUUAGGCAUAGUAGUAGAAGUAAUAGUUGGCGAGCAACUUCAUGGAGACACGAUGAUGGAGAUCAUGGUGUCAUGUCGGUGACAAGAUGAUCAUGGAGCCCCAAGAUGAAGAUCAAAGGAGCUAUAUGAUAUUGGCCAUAUCAUGUCAUUAUUAUUUGAUUGCAUGUGAUGUUUAUCAUGUUUUUGCAUCUUGUUUACUUAGAACGACGGUAGUAAAUAAGAUGAUCCCUCAUAAUAAUUUCAAGAAAGUGUUCCCCCUAACAGUGCGCCAUUGCGACAGCUCGUUGUUUCAAAGCACCACGUGAUGAUCGGGUGUGAUAGAUUCCAACGUUCACAUACAAUGGGUGUAAGACAGAUUUACACAUGCAAACACUUAGGUUGACUGGACGAGCCUGGCAUGUACAGACAUGGCCUUGGAACACAGAAGACCGAAAGGUCGAGCGUGAGUUAUAGAAGAUACGAUCAACAUGAAGAUGUUCACCGAUGUUGACUAGUCCAUCUCACGUGAUGAUCGGACACGGCCUAGUUGACUCGGAUCAUGUUAUACUUAGAUGACUGGAGGGAUGUCUAUCUGAGUGGGAGUUCAUUGAAUAAUUUGAUUAGAUGAACUUAAUUAUCAUGAACUUAGUCUAAAAUCUUUACAAUAUGUCUUGUAGAUCAAAUGGCCAAAGUUGUCCUCAACCUCAACGCGUUCCUAGAGAAAACCAAGCUGAAAGACGAUGGCAGCAACUAUACGGACUGGGUCCGGAACCUGAGGAUCAUCCUCAUUGCUGCCAAGAAAGAUUAUGUCCUACGAGCACCGCUAGGUGAAGCACCCGCUUUCCCUCAGAACAAGACGUUAUGAACGCUUGGCAGACACGUGCUGAUGAUUACUCCCUCGUUCAGUGCGGCAUGCUUUACAGCUUAGAACCGGGGCUCCAAAAGCGUUUUGAGCGACACGGAGCAUAUGAGAUGUUCGAAGAGCUGAAAAUGGUUUUCCAAGCUCAUGCCCGGGUCGAGAGAUAUGAAGUCUCCGACAAGUUCUUCAGCUGUAAGAUGGAGGAAAAUAGUUCUGUCAGUGAGCACAUACUCUUCAGAUGUCUGGGUUGCAUAACCGCUUGACUCAGCUGGGAGUUAAUCUCCCGGAUGACGCGGUCAUUGACAGAAUCCUUCAGUCACUUCCACCGAGCUACAAGAGCUUUGUGAUGAACUUCAAUAUGCAGGGGAUGGAAAAGACCAUUCCUGAAGUAUUUGCAAUGCUGAAAUCAGCAGAGGUAGAAGUCAAAAAGGAACAUCAAGUGUUGAUGGUGAAUAAAACCACUAAGUUCAAGAAAGGCAAGGGUAAGAAGAACUUCAAGAAGGACGGCAAGGGAGUUGCCGCGCCCGGUAAGCAAGCUGCCGAGAAGAAGCCAAAGAAUGGACCCAAGCCCGAGACUGAGUGUUUUUAUUGCAAGGGAAGUGGUCACUGGAAGCAGAACUGCCCCAAAUACUUAGCGGACAAGAAGGCCGGCAUCACGAAAGGUAUAUGUGAUAUACAUGUAAUUGAUGUGUACCUUACCAGUACUCGUAGUAGCUCCUGGGUAUUUGAUACCGGUGCGGUUGCUCACAUUUGUAACUCAAAGCAGGAGCUGCGGAAUAAGCGGAGACUGGCGAAGGACGAGGUGACGAUGCGCGUCGGGAAUGGUUCCAAGGUCGAUGCGAUCGCCGUCGGCACGCUACCUCUACAUUUACCUAUGGGAUUAGUUUUAAACCCCAAUAAUUGUUAUUUAGUGCCAGCUUUGAGCAUGAACAUUGUAUCAGGAUCUCGUUUAAUUUGAGAUGGCUACUCAUUUAAAUCUGAGAAUAAUGGUUGUUCUAUUUAUAUGAGAGAUAUGUUUUAUGGUCAUGAUCCGAUGGUGAAUGGUUUAUUCUUAAUGAAUCUCGAGCGUAAUGUUACACAUAUUCAUAGUGUGAAUACCAAAAGAUGUAAAGUUGAUAAUGAUAGUCCCACAUACUUGUGGCACUGCCGCCUUGGUCACAUAGGUGUCAAACGCAUGAAGAAGCUCCAUGCAGAUGGACUUUUGGAGUCUCUUGAUUACGAAUCAUUUGACACGUGUGAACCAUGCCUCAUGGGUAAAAUGACCAAGACUCCGUUCUCAGGAACAAUGGACCGAGCAACCAACUUAUUGGAAAUCAUACAUACUGAUGUGUGCGGUCCAAUGAGUGUUGAGGCUCGCGGUGGCUAUCGUUAUGUUCUCACCCUCACUGAUGACUUGAGUAGAUAUGGGUAUGUCUACUUAAUGAAACACAAGUCUGAGACCUUUGAAAAGUUCAAGGAAUUUCAGAGUGAGGUUGAGAAUCAACAUGACAGGAAAAUCAAGUUCUUGCAAUCAUAUCGUGGGGGAGAAUACUUGAGUCACGAAUUUGGCACACACUUAAGAAAAUGUGGAAUAGUUUCAAAACUCACGCCGCCUAGAACACCUCAGCGUAAUGGUGUGUCCGAACAUCGUAAUCGCACUCUAUUAGAUAUGGUGCGAUCUAUGAUGUCUCUUACCAAUUUACCGCUAUCAUUUUGGGGCUAUGCUUUAGAGACUGCCGCAUUCACUUUAAAAAGGGCUCCGUCAAAAUCCGUUGAGACGACACCGUAUGAAUUAUGGUUUGGGAAGAAACCUAAGCUGUCGUUUCUAAAAGUUUGGGGAUGCGAUGCUUAUGUCAAGAAACUUCAACCUGAAAAGCUCGAACCCAAGUCGGAAAAAUGCGUCUUCAUAGGAUACCCUAAAGAAACUAUUGGGUAUACCUUCUACCUCAGAUCCGAAGGCAAGAUCUUUGUUGCCAAGAAUGGAUCCUUUCUAGAGAAAGAGUUUCUCUCGAAGGAAGUAAGUGGGAGGAAAGUAGAACUCGAUGAAGUAUUACCUCUUGAACCGGAAAGUGGCGCAACAUAGGAAAAUGUUCCUGAGGUGCCUGCACCGACUAGAGAGGAAGUUAAUGAUGAUGAUCAUGAAACUUCAGAUCAAGUUGCUACUGAACUUCGUAGGUCCAUAAGGACACGUUCCGCACCAGAGUGGUACGGCAACCCUGUCUUGGAAAUCAUGUUGUUAGACAACGGUGAACCUUCAAACUAUGAAGAAGCGAUGGCGGGCCCGGAUUCUGACAAAUGGCUGGAAGCCAUGAAAUCCGAGAUAGGAUCCAUGUAUGAAAACGAAGUAUGGACUUUGACUGACUUGCCCGUUGAUCGGCGAGCCAUAGAAAAUAAAUGGAUCUUUAAGAAGAAGACAGACGCGGAUGGUAAUGUGACCAUCUAUAAAGCUCGGCUUGUCGCUAAGGGUUAUCGACAAGUUCAAGGGGUUGACUACGAUGAGACUUUCUCACCUGUAGCGAAGCUGAAGUCCGUCCGAAUCAUGUUAGCAAUUGUCGCAUUCUAUGGUUAUGAGAUAUGGCAAAUGGACGUCAAAACGGCAUUCCUUAAUGGUUUCCUUAAGGAAGAAUUGUAUAUGAUGCAGCCGGAAGGUUUUGUUGAUCCUAAGAAUGCUGAUAAGGUGUGCAAGCUCCAACACUCGAUUUAUGGGCUGGUGCAAUCAUCUUGGAGUUGGAACAUUCGCUUUGAUGAGAUGAUCAAAGCGUUUGGGUUUAUGCAGACUUAUGGAGAAGCCUGCAUUUACAGGAAAGUGAGUGGGAGCUCUGUAGCAUUUCUCAUAUUAUAUGUAGAUGACAUACUUUUGAUGGGAAAUGAUAUAGAACUUUUGGACAGCAUUAAGGCCUACUUGAAUAAGAGUUUUUCAAUGAAGGACCUUGGAGAAGCUGCUUAUAUAUUAGGCAUCAAGAUCUAUAGAGAUAGAUCAAGAUGCCACAUUGGUCUUUCACAGAGCAUGUACCUUGACAAGAUAUUGAAGAAGUUCAAAAUGGAUCAGUCAAAGAAGGGGUUCUUGCCUAUAUUGCAAGGUACGAGAUUGAGCAUGGCUCAAAGCCCGACCAUGGCAGAAGAUAGAGAAAAGAUGAGUGUCGUCCCCUAUGCCUCAGCCAUAGGGUCUAUCAUGUAUGCUAUGCUGUGUACCAGACCUGAUGUAAACCUUGCCAUAAGUUUGGUAGGAAGGUACCAAAGUAAUCCCGGCAUGGAACACUGGACAGCGGCCAAGAAUAUCCUGAAGUACCUAAAAAGGACUAAGGAUGUUUCUCGUUUAUGGAGGUGACGAAGAGCUCGUCGUAAAGGGUUACGUCGAUGCUAGCUUCGACACAGAUCUGGAUGACUCUAAGUCACAAACCGGAUACGUGUAUAUUUUGAAUGGUGGGGCAGUAAGCUGGUGCAGUUGCAAGCAAAGCGUUGUGGCGGGAUCUACAUGUGAAGCGGAGUACAUGGCAGCCUCGGAGGCAGCACACGAAGCAGUCUGGGUGAAGGAAUUCAUUACCGACCUAGGAGUCAUACCCAAUGCGUCGGGGCCGAUGACUCUCUUCUGUGACAACACUGGAGCUAUUGCCCUUGCCAAGGAGCCCAGGUUUCACAGGAAGACCAGGCAUAUCAAGCGUCGCUUCAACUCCAUUCGUGAAAGUGUUCAAAAUGGAGACAUAGAAAUUUGUAAAGUACAUACGGACCUGAAUGUAGCAGAUCCGUUGACUAAACCUCUCCCUAGAGCAAAACAUGAUCAACACCAGAAUUCCAUGGGUGUUCGAUUCAUCACAAUGUAACUAGAAUAUUGAAUCUAGUGCAAGUGGGAGACUGUUGGAAAUAUGCCCUAGAGGCAAUAAUAAAAUGGUUAUUAUUAUAUUUCUUUGUUCAUGAUAAUUGUCUAUUGUUCAUGCUAUAAUUGUGUUAUCCGGAAAUCGUAAUACAUGUGUGAACACAUAGACCACAACACGUCCCUAGUGAGCCUCUAGUUGACUAGCUCGUUGAUCAAAAGAUAGUCAUGGUUUCCUGACUAUGGACAUUGGAUGUCAUUGAUAACGGGAUCACAUCAUUAGGAGAAUGAUGUGAUGGACAAGACCCAAUCCUAAGCUUAGCUCAAAGAUCGUGUAGUUUGUUUGCUGUAGCUUUUCUGAGUGUCAAGUAUCAUUUCCUUAGACCAUGAGAUUGUGCAACUCCCGGAUACCGUAGGAGUGCCUUGGGUGUGCCAAACGUCACAACGUAACUGGGUGACUAUAAAGGUACAUUACAGGUAUCUCCAAAAGUGUUUGUUGGGUUGGCACGAAUCAAGACUGGGAUUUGUCACUUCGUAUGACGGAGAGGUAUCUCUGGGCCCACUCGGUAAUGCAUCAUCACAAUGAGCUCAAAGUGAUCAAGUGGUUGAUCACGGGAUCAUGCAUUACGGUACGAGUAAAGUGACUUGCCGGUAACGAGACUGAACGAGGUAUUGGGAUACCGACAAUCGAGUCUCGGGCAAGUAACGUACCGAUUGACAAAGGGAAUUGUAUACGGGAUUGAUUAAGUCCUCGACAUCAUGGUUCAUCCGAUGAGAUCAUCGAGGAGCAUGUGGGAGCCAACAUGGGUAUCCAGAUCCCGCUGUUGGUUAUUGACCGGAGAGCCGUCUCGGUCAUGUCUACGUGUCUCCCGAACCCGUAGGGUCUACACACUUAAGGUUCGGUGACGCUAGGGUUGUAGAGAUAUGAGUAUGCAGUAACCCGAAAGUUGUUCGGAGUCCCUGAUGAGAUCUCGGACGUCACGAGGAGUUCCGGAAUGGUCCGGAUGUGAAGAAUUAUAUAUAGGAAGUGCAGUUUCGGCCAUCGGGAGAGUUUCGGGGGUCACCGGUAUUGUACCGGGACCACCGGAAGGGUCCCAGGGGUCCACCGGGUGGGGCCACCCAUCCUGGAGGGUGGGCUGAAGUGGGGAGAGGAACCAGCCCAUAGUGGGCUGGUGCGCCUCCCCACCCUUGGGCCCCCCAUGCUCCUAGGGUUGGGAACCCUAGGGGAGGGGGCGCCUCCACUUGCCUUGGGGGGUACUCCACCCCCUUGGCCGCCGCCCCCCUAGGAGAUCCCAUCUCCUAGGGCCGGUGCACCCCCCUAGGGGGGCCUAUAUAAAGGGGGGGAGGGAGGGCAGCACACACCUCAAGUCUUGGCGCCUCCCUCUCCCUUGCUACACCUCUCCCUCUCGCAGAAGCUCGGCGAAGCCCUGCUGCGAUCACUGCUGCAUCCACCAUCACGCCGUCGUGCUGCUGGAUCUUCAUCAACCUCUCCUUCCCCCUUGCUGGAUCAAGAAGGAGGAGCCGUCAUCCGCUCCGUACGUGUGUUAAACGCGGAGGUGCCAUCCGUUCGGCACUUGGUCAUGGGUGAUUUGGAUCACGGCGAGUACGACUCCAUCAUCCCCGUUCUCUUGAACGCUUCCGCUCGCGAUCUACAAGGGUAUGUAGAUGCACUCUCCUCUCGUUGCUAGUUGACUCCAUAGAUUGAUAUUGGUGAAACGUAGGAAAAAAAUUUGUUUUCUGCAACGUUCCCCAACAGUACAAGGGCCUGUGCGUCGGAUCGGGCUGUGGGCCAGAAGAAGCCUGUACGAAAGGCUUUACUUGCUAGGGCUCGGGCUGCGGCGUGAUGACCACCGAGGCCAGCAUGUAUUUUGGCCAAGAGCUGUCGCCCCUCCUCUUUAGAGAUACAUCUUUGAAGGACUCCGGUGGUGCUUUUCUUGUAGAGCUCUCCCUCGUGGACUUUAUAAGACUUAGAGCGUCGGACUAUGCGAUGGACCUCGUUCUAAUCGUUAGAGAGCUCCUGCCUAUUAAGGUAGGCCAAGAAGGGUCCGGCCUAUUAAGGAAGGUGUAGGCUCGGUGCUCGAGCCCCCGAUGGUAUCCGAAUCAUGUUCGGCAUCCGGGGGUAUGAUCAGCGCCGGACUAUUAUUUCCGCUCUCGUCCUGCCAUACCAUGGAUGGUUUGAAAAGCUUCUCCAAAAAGGUGUUAGGGAGGACGGGGUCGCGUUUAGCUCCCAGACGAGCAAGGAUGUCCACUUCCUGAUUACUAUCUUGAGCCACAUGAUGAAACUCGAGCCCCUCAAAUCGAGCGGAUAUUCUAAGUAUGGCAUUGCGGUAAGCUACCAUCUUUGGAUCCUUUGCGUCGAAUUCUCCAUUUAUUUGGGAUAUCACGAGGUUCGAAUUCCCACGUAGUUCGAGGCGUUGUAUGCCCAUAGAAACGGCCAUCCGGAGUCCAUGCAGGAGUGCUUCAUAUUCGACUGCAUUAUUAGAAUCCGUAUACAUGAGUUGUAAUACAUAACAGACUGUGUCCCCUGCACGGGAAAUUAGGAUGACACCAGCUCCCGGUCCGGCUAACAUUUUGGAGCCGUCAAAGUACAUCACCCAGUUGGAGUAUGUGUUGUACUCUUUAGGGAGUUCGGCUUCUGUCCAUUCGGCGACGAAGUCAGCCAACACCUGAGAUUUAAUAGCUCGGCGUGGCUUGUAUGUUAUUUCGAAUGCUAAGAGCUCUAUAGCCCAUUUGGCAAUACGGUCGGUGGCGUCUCAGUUGUUUGUGAUAUUAUUGAGUGGUACUUCAGAGGCCACCGUGAUCGACCACUCUUGAAUAUGAAUAUGAUGUUAGUUUACAUGUUAAAUAUUUUAAAUGCUAUUUAGGGUGAAACCUUAAUCAAUAGCGCACGAUCCAUCUUCUUUCGUACCGACACUGACCCGGAUUGCAAUGAACACCUCAUCAAAGCAAAAUUGGAGAAGAAACAAACCGUCGAUAACUGUGCAUGUACGCAUCGGCAAAAUUUUGCAUAAAAACAGAUUUCUCAUCUUAUGCCAAGAGAAAGAGACACCUUAACAAGACAUAUUGUAGGUCUUAGUCAUGGUAUUGGGUUAGGGCUGUGCGAUAUUUUCUCCUCCAGUUGUAACACACGGGCUCAUUUGCUAGUAAGGCUAAUACAUGCCACCGACUAUCAAAAAUUGGCAUGUUCUAAAUACUAGAGCUAUGGAGAAAGUUCACCCACAACUGUCCUUACCCUUGCCCUUGUCGUCUUCGUCGCACAAGUAGCGACCAAAGACGUCGAGUCAGAUCUACUCACUGUCGGAGUUGUCUAAUCCAUCAUCGGCCUCCUCCUCUUUGGAGCAGUCUGGCGAGGGCACAUACCGCCAGAGUUUGCUCCUUUUUCUGAGGGCACGCACCAUCCAGACUUGCUGCUUGACGAGGAUGCGGGCCUGGAGGGGCAUCCUCGGUUCUGUCCGACGCGGCAUGCGACUCUGCCUUCGUUGUUUGCCGCACCCUCUCCCUCACUUGGCGGGCAUACCAGUCCUAGGCGCAUCCAUGAGCGGGCCAUCUACUAGCAUUGGCCUUCUACUCAGAGAUCGACGUCAUGGGGACGAGGCUCCACGACAGGGGUUGCGUCGCCAUCCUGGAGCCGCCCGGUUGGGCAUGGCGAUCCGCCACGGUCCCGUGCCUCGAGCUACCGGCGUGGGCGGAUUCCCGCUGUAGCAACUCGGUCCGCGGUGCUCGGGCGAAUUCCUCUUGAGAGCGGCGGAGAGCCAGGCGGAUGGCCAGCUCCUGUGGGGACGAGGUCCCAGUCGAUGAACUCGGAGUUGUCGGAAUCAUAUCCGAUGCUCGCCAUGUCGAGGCCAGAGAUCGCCGCAGAGGAGUUGGGGGAGGACAGACCGGUGCGGACUUGAAGUGAAGUGGAGUGGCAAGUGGCUAGGGUUACGUCUGGAUGCGGAUAGCAUGGAGGAUAUUUGUUGGGUCAGGGUGGACCAACAUGAGCCGGAUCUGACAUGGCAAACACGUCUAGGCCUCUCCCACAAUCGUCUCAGAUAUGAGAUCCGUAUGAGAGGUAUGGCUGGGUGACGAGUCACUGACCAGGCCGUCGGUGCAGGGCAAUAUAAAAGAUCCGGCUGUAGCUCUAACCUGUGCACUUCCGAGUGGCCAGAGGACUUGGAAGCACUUGAGGUCUAUAUAGAUGUCACGUGUGCUACGAGCAUGUUGCAUGAUACCAACUGUAUCUCUCAAGCAGUUUCAUCAAUCGCUAUUGCCAUCGUACGAUCACAGCACGCGAAGGAGAAAACGUGCCGUGAGCACACCCGGGACCUGCAAGAGACUUUCGCCGACACCCUAAAUAGUUGCGUAGCUCAGCUCUGUUUCAUGACAAAUAUAGGGGUAACUCGAUGGACCAGCCACACAAACAAACAAUCGUGUGUUGCCGUGCAAGCAGAUGAAAUCAGUUGUAGGUUUUGAAUACCAAAUUAGCUACAACGCUGCAUCAAGAAUCUUCAAAUAUUGCCAGAAAAUACUGCAGCUUGCAGUAGAAAUCCACGAACAAUACUGCAAAGGGUAUCCAAAACUGUAAUAUAACCAAGUACUCAGGUCAAACCGUCAAACACAAAGUAAUAGCAUACGGGUAAUGAGAUCCAGAUCCACCCUCGGAACAAGAAAAUGGACGGAAAUCUCUAGCUUAAUUCAGUAACCACAGGCUUAGCAUACGGCGCAGGCUUGACUGAACACUCAUCACCAUCUGUCCUCCAAAAAAAAGCCUCGGCCAUUUCAC
rnacentral:lncRNA from 1 species